CCACACAUGACUUCGUAUAUGCUGGCUUAGCUGCUUCAGGAAACACCACAAACAUUAUCAAUGCUGCUGUAACACCUGCAUUUGUUGCUCAAUUCCCAGGUCUAAAUGGCCUUGGUCUUUCUGCAGCAAGGUUAGACAUUGCUUCUGGUGGUGUAAUCCCUCUUCAUACUCACCCUGGUGCUUCUGAGUUAUUGAUAGUAACACAAGGUCGUGUCACUGCUGGGUUUAUAACAUCAGAUAAUUCAGUUUAUGUGAAGACACUUUCAAAGGGAGAACUUUUCAUUUUGCCACAAGGGUUGUUGCAUUUUCAAUUAGGUUAUGGUAAGAGAAAAGCUGUUGCUUAUGCUGUUUUCAGUAGCUCAAGUCCAGGGCUUCAAAUACUUGAUUUUGCAUUGUUUGCAAGCAACUUUUCUUCUUCUUUGAUUACACAGACUACUUUCCUUGACCCUGAACAAGUGAAGAAGCUUAAGAGUGUUCUUGGUGGUAGUGGCUAGACCUUUUUAGUUUGGUUGUUCAUGAAUCAUUGAUUCAUUGUUUUACUUAAAACAUUCCUUGUGUUGUUUCAGUUCAUUGGAAUUUGUGUAGGUUGCCCUAGUCAUUAAGUACCUUGUAUCAAUGUGUUUCAGUUAAUUUUCAUUGUUGCAAAUCUCAAUGUCAAGAUUAUUUCAAUGUAACUAUGUUUUGAAGGGUUUGUGAAUGUUUAUGGGUAAUUUUAUCCAAUAGCCUCCCAUGUUUUAAAUUGUAAUUAAGUUGUGUUUAUUACAAUUGUGGAAAAUUAUAAUUGAUAAGACUAUAAUUAUAAUCAUAACAUCAUUGUGAGACUCUCAAACUAACUAUAAUAUUAUAGUCAUAAUUUAAGUUAUAAAGUACAAUUUAAAAUAAUGACCCUCUAUGUCAACUGUGCAUGUCAAUUUUAAAUUGAUAUGAAGUUUUAUUUUAUUAAUAUUCCUUUGUAAAAGUUGGUAGUUGUCUUUUAUUGUAAUACUUUAGUUAUAAUUGUCCAUACGUCAUAAAGUUCGAUUCAGUUGCUACUAACUCAUCCUAAACAUUAACAUAGUUGUACAAAAUGCUAGCAGAUUAUUAUAUGGUACACAUACCUUGUGUCUUUAUAAGUACAUAAUUAGUUUCAGAGUUAAUUUUCAAAUGUCUUCAUAAAAACAGAUUUAGUUGUAUUAUAUUAUCUAGAAAACAAUUUACACUAUUAAUCAUUUAUAUAUUACCAUAUCAUUAAAAAUAUUUAACUUGUUAUCUUAAUUAAUUAUAUUUUAAGUCACACUUAUAGUAAUUUAUAAUUGGUUUGUAGUGUAAAAACUUUUAUUAAACUUAAAUGGAUAUAACAAUAAUUAUCAAACAAAAGGAGUGCUAGCAAUAAAUCCUCUAACACACUUGUUCUCUACUAGAACAUAAAGAUAUAGACAAUGGUUGAUCAGUUGUUGAGGAGGGAGAAGAGGAUAAUCGUCAAAGUAGCAGGAUGAGGUAGGAGAGCUGGAUUGAAGAAUGUGCUUCAAGUUGCUUUUGUAGCAAUCAUUUAGCAUUUGUCAUCAUUUAUUAAAGCAUCUUUAAGAAUUUUGCUACUUGCAGACUAAAUUGUGUACCCCAACUUUACAUUGAUUAUGCAACAAUGUUAUUACAAGUUUGAUCAUACUAGUAAAAUUGUACAACUUCUUUAUAAAGCAGAAGGGCAAAAAUAAGAAGAAUUUUUUUAUACGAGGCUUAUUUCUUUUCUUAAAAGAAAGUUAUACAAAAUUGACAUAACUAAUUGAAGUUCACUCCAUAAUAUACCCAUUAACAUUCUAAUAAUUGGUUAUUAUUCUUAAUUAUUACAAAUGAUUCAUAUGAUUUUUUUAGUUUUGUUAGUUUUUGGAACACAUCAAGGUCAAAUUAGACCUUAGUGAUAAAAAAUGUUAUUGUGACAUAAUUUUAGAUAUUUAUUCAUCGAUGAGGGAUCAUAUUUAUAAUGAGAUUAAGACUUAUCAUUUCUCAUCUCAUUUUAGAAUAUGACUUAUGAGUCUAAUCCACUUAAUAUUAAGUUUUUGUACUACUAAGGGUAUUCUUUUAUAUUUUUAGGUAAAGAACUAAUCUCUUUUGGGUUUCGUUGCUGGCUCUCAAUAAGUAUAAUUCCCAGGAAUCAAAUAUUAAAUCUUAAGAAUCUAAUGAAGCCUUAAACCACUAGAUCAACGCCUUUUUGAUUACUAAUACCAUUUUAGAUAUGACUUAUGAGUCCAAUGAGUAACUUUGUAUCACACCAUAAUUAAUCCAACAACUUGCAACAAAAGCUCCUCCUAUAUAUAACAUAGCUAUGCAACUAGCUAAUCCCACAUUCCCACCCAACAACACAAAAAAUCAUACAACAAAAAUGCUUCACAUUCUUCUCCUCCUCCUUCCUCUUCUCUUAUCCAUUUCCAAUGCUUCUGUCAAUGAUUUCUGUGUAGCAGACCUUAAUGGUCCAGAUGGUCCUUCAGGCUAUCCCUGCAAGCCUCCUACAAAAGUAACCACACAUGACUUCGUAUAUGCUGGCUUAGCUGCUUCAGGAAACACCACAAACAUUAUCAAUGCUGCUGUAACACCUGCAUUUGUUGCUCAAUUCCCAGGUCUAAAUGGCCUUGGUCUUUCUGCAGCAAGGUUAGACAUUGCUUCUGGUGGUGUAAUCCCUCUUCAUACUCACCCUGGUGCUUCUGAGUUAUUGAUAGUAACACAAGGUCGUGUCACUGCUGGGUUUAUAACAUCAGAUAAUUCAGUUUAUGUGAAGACACUUUCAAAGGGAGAACUUUUCAUUUUGCCACAAGGGUUGUUGCAUUUUCAAUUAGGUUAUGGUAAGAGAAAAGCUGUUGCUUAUGCUGUUUUCAGUAGCUCAAGUCCAGGGCUUCAAAUACUUGAUUUUGCAUUGUUUGCAAGCAACUUUUCUUCUUCUUUGAUUACACAGACUACUUUCCUUGACCCUGAACAAGUGAAGAAGCUUAAGAGUGUUCUUGGUGGUAGUGGCUAGACCUUUUUAGUUUGGUUGUUCAUGAAUCAUUGAUUCAUUGUUUUACUUAAAACAUUCCUUGUGUUGUUUCAGUUCAUUGGAAUUUGUGUAGGUUGCCCUAGUCAUUAAGUACCUUGUAUCAAUGUGUUUCAGUUAAUUUUCAUUGUUGCAAAUCUCAAUGUCAAGAUUAUUUCAAUGUAACUAUGUUUUGAAGGGUUUGUGAAUGUUUAUGGGUAAUUUUAUCCAAUAGCCUCCCAUGUUUUAAAUUGUAAUUAAGUUGUGUUUAUUACAAUUGUGGAAAAUUAUAAUUGAUAAGACUAUAAUUAUAAUCAUAACAUCAUUGUGAGACUCUCAAACUAACUAUAAUAUUAUAGUCAUAAUUUAAGUUAUAAAGUACAAUUUAAAAUAAUGACCCUCUAUGUCAACUGUGCAUGUCAAUUUUAAAUUGAUAUGAAGUUUUAUUUUAUUAAUAUUCCUUUGUAAAAGUUGGUAGUUGUCUUUUAUUGUAAUACUUUAGUUAUAAUUGUCCAUACGUCAUAAAGUUCGAUUCAGUUGCUACUAACUCAUCCUAAACAUUAACAUAGUUGUACAAAAUGCUAGCAGAUUAUUAUAUGGUACACAUACCUUGUGUCUUUAUAAGUACAUAAUUAGUUUCAGAGUUAAUUUUCAAAUGUCUUCAUAAAAACAGAUUUAGUUGUAUUAUAUUAUCUAGAAAACAAUUUACACUAUUAAUCAUUUAUAUAUUACCAUAUCAUUAAAAAUAUUUAACUUGUUAUCUUAAUUAAUUAUAUUUUAAGUCACACUUAUAGUAAUUUAUAAUUGGUUUGUAGUGUAAAAACUUUUAUUAAACUUAAAUGGAUAUAACAAUAAUUAUCAAACAAAAGGAGUGCUAGCAAUAAAUCCUCUAACACACUUGUUCUCUACUAGAACAUAAAGAUAUAGACAAUGGUUGAUCAGUUGUUGAGGAGGGAGAAGAGGAUAAUCGUCAAAGUAGCAGGAUGAGGUAGGAGAGCUGGAUCCGCCGGUGGAGGUACCUGAAAAGGUUUUCCGACGAUCAAGUCAGUGUAUGAACUAAGUGAAAUGGGGAUACGAGAGUAGAGAGGGUAGAUAGCAGUAGAAUGAGUAAUGUUAAAGAGUAAAGAGGUUAAGAUACUUUCUGUUGGUGGAGAUCCCUAUUUAUAGCAGGGAGAGUUGACUUUGGAUUCUUGACAGAUGGUGCGACGCGUGGCCGACCAAAGGUAUUGUCGGGGACUGCUUUCUCUGUGUCAGGCGGUCUGCCAGGACCGUACACUGUGCCAUUCUUGUCUUUUAACCUGUGGUUGGUUUGGCAGCCGUUCUGCAGCCUGUCUGCCGGGUUGGCAGGAGCCUGUCUGCCGGGUUGGCAGGUGGGUUGGUGAGGUACGAAAGGCAUGCUGUCUCUUAGGUCAACUCUGGUGGUCCCAAUACGCUGGGCCCACCUCGGCGACCAAGUAUGUGACUCCUCGGUUCGCCGGGUAGGAACAACACUCUUUUAACAUUUAGUGUCAUAUUAGUCCAUGUGAUUAUUAAUUUUUUAAAGAAUUUAUUAUUUAUGCCUUGAUUGUGCAAUUGGCCACAAAAAAUCAUAUGAGAGCACAUCUUCUAUCAUAAAAAAGUGUAUCACUCUAUAUAUCUCUUACUUGUAAUUGAUUGAAAAAUUAUAUUUAAAUUAAAAUUUUAAUAAUUAAUAUUUUUCACACUAAUCACCACAAGUAAUUACAAAUUGAUAUAUCAAUUAAUGGAAGUUUAUAUCCAACGAGCUCCAGAGAUUUGUUGGUUGAUGUUAACAGUAAAAGAAGUUUCAGAGCCAAAGAGGUAGCACAGGCAUUCAGAGUUUCCAAAUUAACCCCUGCAAACUUUCACCAAAUGCACUAUUUCUCUAUGUAAAGUUCUUGAUUAUAAAACUAUUUGUAUGAUUGGGGGCUUGCUAUUGUUUCAUCUUCUGUGUACUUAAAAAUGUUUAAAAGUUAUUAAGAAGAUAGCACUAAAGACAUUGCACUUUGGAUUAAAAGACCUAGUCAACAAUUCCAUUUGCAAAUCUACAAUGAAGAAUGAAGAUACACAACUGUCGGCUGCCAAUUCUGGACCAAAUUUGAAUUAACCACACAAACCUGAAUUUAGGCUAAAAUAUUAUAUUUAAUAACAUGUUUUUUUAAUUACUAGUAUUUACCAAUAAGACGUUGAUCUAGUGAUAUAAAACUACAUUUGAUCCCCAAAAGAUUUAUGAUUUAAUUCUCGUGAGCGAUAUUUAUAAAGAGAGACAAUCGCACCUCGAAAGAGAUUGAUUCAUUGUUCAUAAGGUAAUAUGAUAUCAUUGGUAGUACAAAAAAAUUACUAGUCUUUAAUACCAUCUCAAACAAAUCAAAUACUUGGGAGAUUAUACACAUUUUUAACCUGGGAUUACUACAAAGUAACAUGUUAGAUUUAUAUGGUCUAGGAACAAAUAUUAUAUACAAACGAAAUUCCAAGGUUCAUUCCAUAGGUGAAUUUAAGAUGCUUGUACACUGCAACUGGUUAAAUUAAAGAUGCAUGUACACUGCAACUGAGAAAAUUGCAAAUCCUAGGUGUAUGAUAUUAAUGAUAGUGAUGAUGAUAAGAGAGAGUCUCUUGUAGAGGGAGACGGGGGCUACAAUUAACCUAUGCCAACCUAAGCCCAUAAACAAGCAACCGUUCAUCAAGAUUCAAAAAUUCUUACUGAAUCUCGAAUCUCCUGACGACAAACGGGACACUUGGGUGCCACUUCACGUUCAACUGAUACAGCACACCGAUGGCAGCAUACAAGAUGCCCACAGGGAAUGAAAGCAGAGCGCCUUCUCCUCAUCAGGCAUACAACACAUAAUUGUCCAUCUGGGACAUCUUCAUUUUCGUCUUCCAACUGAUAAACAAAAUCACCACUCACAUCUUGCCUUUGUUGCUGGAGCUCCCGCUGCUGUUUCCACUGCUUCCACUUAUUCCAGUUCCUGAAUACAGACGACAAAAAUUUAAUUAUCUUGAAAUCAACUCUAACCAUCACCCAAAAUCAUCAAUAAAUCAUUUCAGUGUGUUUUAAUCGAGUAAUAUAAGAGAAUGGGUGUAUUUUUUUGGCAGGGUUUAAUUCCUUCAUUUCAAAAUCCAUUGUUUGGAUAAGUACAUGAAGCAUUCAACAAAUCCUGGAAUUUUUUCAGGUAUUUUUUCCAACUGAAAACAGUGCAUCUUGAAUUCCACCAAAAUAGGUGAAAUUUUAAUUCCGCCCCAAAACGUAUCAAGUCUCAACCUUCCCCUCUUCAUCCCAUUUUCUCCCUUCUAGCUCUGUGCUUAUUCUGUUAUCAUAUCUUCAUGGUUUUGGCUUCUGCUUCUAUACCUUCAGAACUCCAUAACCCUCUUCUCUAUCACGUUCAUAAAGGGAAUCAACAGGUAGAUCAGUUUAGUGUAUUGCAACAUGUUGAUUGAGAAGAAAACAUGCUGGAGUCCAAAUGAUGAUGGCAAUGCUUCCAUGGUGAUUUUGUUGGUAUAGAUUAAAGGAUUGAUGUGUGAAUCUAUUGAUUGUGGUGGAAAGUUAGGCACGCCCGCUUAAUUGGUUAAAUGACAUAAUAAAAUUCUCAAACUUUUUUACAUCAUCCAAACAGAUAUUUGAUACAUUCUAGAAUUUUAAAUUGCUUCAUUUCAAUUUCUGGAAAUUUAAAAUGCUCUCGAAUUUCUAAUUUCUCCAUCCAAUUACACUCAAAUACGAUGAUAAAAAUAACCAAACUUUUAUCUCACUAGGUGGAGUCGACUAUAUGAAUCGAACGGCGACAUAAUAUUCUGUCAUAAAUCAUGUUCAUUCACAAAACAUUGAUCUUUAUUUCUUUCUAUAUCAUUUCGCCUCUGUUUUUCUUAGUCUCCUUCCUCUAGGAACUGGACUAGCUUCGAUUUGAUAUAUUCACUUUACAGGUGCUUCUACUGGUUUUCUCCAUACAUUACAAACUACCUAAGACACGAUUUUACCAUCUUUUCUACAAAAGGAGUUACUAAACUUUCUCCUUAAUGCAUUCAUUUCUAAUCCUAUCUUGUCUAGUGUGUCUACGCAUCCAACACAAUAUUCUCAUCUCUGGUACAUGGAGUCUAUUCUCUAGUUGACAUUUUGUCACCCAAUAUUUAGUCUCAUAUAAUAUUAUAGAUCUUAUAGUCUUGUAGUAAAACUUUCACUUAAGCUUGAGUGAUACAUUUUUAUUACAAAUGACACAUAAAGCACUCUACCAUUUCAUUCAACCCACUCGAAUCUUAUGGUUCACAUCUUUGUCAAUUUCCUUAUUGUCUUGUAUGGUUGACUCAAUAUACUAAAUCUAGUAACUUGUGGUUGAUAUGGUCCUCAAUCUUUACUUCUACAAUAAAGUUUGUUCGCCUCUUGCUAAACUUACACUCCAUAUACUCUAUCUUAUUUCGACUUAUACAAAAUUCAUGUGCUUUUAAAGUUUGUCUCCACAUUUCUAGCAUCUCAUUUAAUUUCUCCCUCGAGUCUCCCACUAAUACAAUAUCAUCUGCAAAAACAUGAAUGUGGCACUGGUUCUUGGAUAUGCUCAGUGACAGCGAGCACAUCCAAGAUCAAUGUAAACAAGAGCUUAAUAGUGACCCUUGGCAUAGUCCUAUGACAAUAAUAAAAUCUUCUGAGACCUUGUUUUGUGUUCUCAAACUGGUAUUGACCACAUCAUACAUAUCAUUGAUUGCUCGAAUAUAGACAAUUUAAAUACCUUUCUUCACCAGAGCUUUCCACAAAAUCUCUUUAAGCACCUUAUCAUAUGUAUUCUCCAAAUCAAUGAAAACCAUAUGUAAGUCCUUUAGUUUCUUCGAUAUCUUUCCAUGAAUUGUUGAAGCAAAUAUAUAGCCUCUAUGGUCAACUUCAUCAGCAUAAAUCAAAUUGGUUGUCAAUUAUAUUCAUCUCUUAUCUCAACUUCCGCUUAAUUAUCUUCUCCCAUGGCUUUAUAGUAUGACUCAUGAGCAUAAUCCUCCUAUACUUUACACAAUUUUGUAUGUCACUCUUGUUCUUAUAAAUAGAGAUUAAGAUAUUUCUCUUCCACUCGUCACAUCUUCUUAGACCUUAUAAUCUCAUUAAACAACCUUGUAAGACAUGUAAUGCUCUGCUCUCCUAGAACUUUCCACACCUCAAUAGGUAAUUACGUAUAUUAUCAGGUCCAACCGUUUUGUCAUUCUUCACCAUUUUCAAAGUUUCUUUCACCCCAACUCCCAUGUUCUACGAUAAAAAUUAUAAUUUUGAUCCUUCACUUUUGUGUGUAGUCUAUUAGAAAGCAAUGAAUUAUGUCCCUCACUGAAAAGCUUGUGAAAAUAUAUCUUCCAUUUUUCUUUCAUAUCUUUAUCUUUCACCAAGGCUUUCCCAUCUUCGUCUUUAAUGCAUUUCACUUGGUCCAACUCUCUUGUCUUUCUUUUUUUACCCUUUGCAAGUCCAUAGACACUUCUUUCCUCUCUCUUGAUACCUAGAGAUUUGAAUAACCCGUCAUACGUUUUUUUCUUUAGCUUCGUUUACCACUUUCGUGUGCUCUUUCUUAGUUACCUUAUUCAGCUACAAUCAAAUCAGUGCUAAAAUUCUGACUAUUAUCAAAAGAAAAGGCAUCAUUAUGUGGCAACUAAUUUCAAAAACCUUUCUUCUACAGUCAUCAUCAUGACAGUCUUUACCAAGAAUCUACUCUACUACUUCAUAUUCUCAACAAAUUCUAUGUCCAGACAUAAUUACUGAAAUCCAAAAUAUCACGUAAACAAUUAGGAAUAAAUGAGCAGGUAGGGCAGACCAACAUACCUCACUACUGCAUACCCAAGGAUCCCAACAGACAUUGAACCAAGAACAAUACCACCCCAAAGCAGUACUGUUGUUUUGAAGGAAAGAUCUACAAUCAUCUGAUCUUUACUCAAGUCAGACCUACAAAAGACAUGACAAUUUCCAUAAGCAACACUUCCACAGGAUAGAAUCAUUUGAUAAUAUUUUUAAGCUAUGCACACUCAAAUAUCCUGCAAGCAAAAUAAAUUGUUGAUUAUGAUGACAUUGUAAAUCUUUAUUGUAAUUGAUACACAUUAUCUUUUUCCCACAGAUAGAUAGGAGCAUCCAUUGUAAUUGUUCUAAAUCCCUGUGAUUCAGCGAUUUAUGUCUCUUACUCAUUGUAUAUAUUUUUCAAGCUAUCUAAUAGAAUUAGUUGUUUCAACUUGGUAUCUGAGAUCUAAGGUUCAGUCUCAGUUUCUGUUUUCCAGCCACUCAGAGCUACAAACCCUAGUAUAGUCAUCGGCUGUGCAAGGUGACAACUAAGUUUAUCUCAGACACCACUGUCCAGUCAUCCCCUCAAGCACCGCCACCAGAAUAUAAACUGCUGGAUAGAUAUGAAGUAUAUGUAUUUCAACCAUGAGGGUAGUGUUGAUUAUGAUUGAUAAUUUGAUAUGGCCUGUGAUUGGUAGCGUAAAUUAUUGUUGUAACUGAUACCCAUUAUUUGUUACAUAGAUAGGAGCAUUCGUUAUAAUUAUUCUAAAUCCCUGUGAUUCAAGGAUCCAUGUCUUCUACUCAUUGUAUAUAUUCAUAUUAGACUGAGAACAUUUCUCAAGCCAUCUAAUACAAUAAGUUGUUUCAAGUAAAGCAUCAUUAAUUCAAUAUUACACAGCAUUAAAACAUCAAAUUGAAAAGGUGCAGCACCACUUUAACAUUUUCUCAUAGUAUUUGUCCUACAACAGACUACAGUAUCAUGUAAUUAAUAAAUAAAAAGCAUUGAACUAAAUCAAAUUGAACAAUCUCCACUACCACUACUACCCAACAUAUGACGAAGGUAAAAGAAGAUACCCAACAUAUUGAUAAGGCCAAUACUAAGCCACUUAUUAAAAACGUGUAUAAAAGGGGAAAGAGGAGAGUUUGGAUAGAAUAACCAACUUUCCCUUCCUACCCUUGGGUAGUUAGAAUCAGUUAACAAGAAUCCAGGGAUCCUUGAGGGGACAAAACCUGUACUCCUACUUCUAUUCUUGCUUAAAUUCAAUAAAAGUACUAGAACCCUAUCAGAAUCGUGUUGAUUCUGAGUUAGGGGCUUUUCCUUUCAAUUUCUGUUCUUAAUCUCUUCUACAUAGAUACCAGUGUCUAUCACUGGUAUCAGAGCACCAUUCUGGUGCCUGUGGGAGGACUUCACGCUGCUGUUGGGAGGAUUUUUGGCGUAUGGUCUCUACAAGAAGUAUGGCUAGAGAAAACGAAGGUGGAGGGACUGAAAAGGAGGAAUUUCGUAUGAGGAUGGAGCUGAGUGAAGCUCGUAUUGCAAAAACAGAGGAAUUGUUGGCUGCUAUAGCCAUCAAAUUAGGAGUUAGCACCAGUGAGAAAGCAGAAGAAGGGGGUAGUGAAAAUGAGGAGGUGGAUAGCCAUAAGUGGGAGCAACAUCAAGAAAGGUGGAGAAAGUUGGAGAUCCCCAUCUUCUCUGGGGAUGAUGCGUAUGGCUGGGUGCAAAAAUUAGAAAGGUAUUUUUCUCUAAGAUCCAUUUCUGAAAAAGAAAGGAUGAAAGCUACGUUAGUUGCUUUGGAAGGAAGGGCUCUGAGUUGGUAUCAAUGGUGGGAAGGUUGUAAUCCAAGACCUUCUUGGGAGGGAUUCAAGUUGGCAGUAGUUAGAAGGUUCCAACCUUCUAUGGCUCAAAACCCCUUUGAGCUACUUCUCUCCUUGAAACAAGAAGGGGGAGUAGAGGCUUAUGUGGAGGAUUUUGAGAAGUAUGCAGGGGCCUUGAGGGGGCUCCACCAAGAUUUUGUGAGGGGAGUUUUCCUAAAUGGUCUCAAGGAAGAACUCAGGGCAGAGGUCAGGCUGUAUGAAUUGAAGACCUUGCCAGAAGUAAUGCAGAAGGCUAUCUUGAUUGAACAGAAGAACUUAGUGAUGAAUAGAAGGCCUUCUUGGAGCCUUCCCAAGACUUCUGGAUCCAUUAGGACCAAUUCUUACAGUAAGGUGGUUACUGUGGAACCAAAUUCUUCAUAUUCCAGUAAGAAGGAGGCUUCUUCUGUUGGAAGUGUGGCUGCACCUUCCAGGGUUUAUCCAGAGGCAACCAAUUCUAAAUCUCUAGGGGAAUUCAAGAGGUUAUCCAAUGCUGAGAUGAAAGAGAAAAGGGAGAAGGGUCUCUGUUUUAGAUGUGAUGAACCAUUUUCGAGGGAGCAUAGGUGUAGGUUCAAGCAAUUCAACAUGUUACUAAUGGCUGAUGAGGAGGAUGCAGAAGGAGAAGGGGAGGUGGAGGCAGAAGGGGGGAUAGAGGUACCUUCUGAUUCUUUACAACUCUCUUUGUACUCUAUGAAGGGCCUCACUACAGCUAAAUCUUGGAAGAUCAAGGGAAAUUUAUGUGGUACCCCAGUAGUGGUCAUGAUUGAUUGUGGAGCAUCCCACAACUUUAUUUCAAGGGAGUUGGUGGAUCAGUUGCAAUUGGAGAAGGAAGAUACUAAAGCCUACCUUGUGGAGGUGGGUGAUGGGCAUCAAAUAUCUUGCAGAGGAAGGUGUCCUCAAUUAUUGUUAAACCUACCACAAAUUGAGGUAACUCAGGAUUUCUACCUUUUUGCUUUAAAGGGAGUAGAUGUAGUUUUGGGUCUGGAAUGGUUGGCUAGUUUGGGAGAGGUAAGGGCAGAUUUUGGUAGGAUGAGUUUGACCUUGAAGAAGGGUGACUCAGUUGUUAGCAUUGUGGGAGACCCUGCCCUAACCAAAACAGAGUUAUCUUUAGGUGCAUUCAUGCAAGUUCUACUCAAGGAAGGAGAAGGGAUUUUGCUGCAGUAUGGUGAUUCUAAAAGAGGGGUUGAUAAAGGAGAGGUUCCUGUGGAAUUAACAGAGGUGUUGCACAAGUAUGAUGAGGUUUUUCAAGAAUUGCAGGGACUUCCCCCUUCUAGGCAGUGUGAUCAUGCUAUACACUUGAAGGAGGGAGCUGAUAUACCUAACCUCAGGCCCUAUAGGUGCCCUUACUACCAGAAAUCUGAGAUUGAAAGAUUGGUGGCUGAGAUGUUGGAGGCUGGGGUCAUCAGGCCUAGCAUAAGCCCUUAUGCCAGCCCAAUUAUCUUGGUGAAAAAGAAGGAUGGUGGGUGGAGAUUUUGUGUGGAUUACAGGGCCCUAAACAGAAUUACUAUCCCCAAUAAAUUCCCUAUACCCCUCAUUGAAGAAUUAUUAGAUGAAUUAGGGGAGGCUAGGGUGUUUUCUAAGCUGGAUUUGAAAUCUGGCUAUCACCAGAUCAGGAUGAAAACAGAGGAUAUCAAUAAGACUGCUUUUAGAACCCAUGAGGGUCAUUAUGAAUUCAUGGUCAUGCCAUUUGGGUUGACUAAUGCACCCUCAACUUUUCAAUCCCUUAUGAAUGAUGUCUUGAAGCCAUAUCUCAGGAAGUUCACUCUGGUUUUUUUUNNNNNNNNNNNNNNNNNNNNNNNNNNNNNNNNNNNNNNNNNNNNNNNNNNNNNNNNNNNNNNNNNNNNNNNNNNNNNNNNNNNNNNNNNNNNNNNNNNNNAUUUCCUAGUUUCCAACUUGAGGACAAGUUAGAAUGUUUAGGGGGGAGUAUUGAUAAGGCCAAUACUAAGCCACUUAUUAAAAACGUGUAUAAAAGGGGAAAGAGGAGAGUUUGGAUAGAAUAACCAACUUUCCCUUCCUACCCUUGGGUAGUUAGAAUCAGUUAGGUAACUAACUGCUAUAAAUAGCAGAGUUAGUUAGGGAGAAGUUAGCUUUUGUUUGAGAAUUCAACUGAUUUAGGAAUCAGUGAAGAACACAAGGAUCCAGGGAUCCUUGAGGGGACAAAUCUUGUAAUCCUACUUCUAUUCUUGCUUAAAUUCAAUAAAAGUACUAGAACCCUAUCAGAAUCGUGUAGAUUCUGAGUUAGGGGCCUUUCCUUUCAAUUUCUGUUCUUAAUCUCUUCUACAUAGAUACCAGUGUCUAUCACAUAUGAUGAAGGUAAAAGAAGAUAGAUUUUGCCAUGAUCAACAAAAUAAUAGUUUAUUUAAGGAAAAGAAACUUAACAGAAAAUAUGGUAGAUCUUUGCUUGGCUUAAUUUCAGCAAUUCCAUUUCUUAAACUGCAAAGGCCAACAGCACUGAUAUCCUUCCCCAAAGGAAGAAUUUUCUCUUCAUCUAGUAGUCCAACCUUCAGAAAAGAAACAUCAUAUGUCAAAAAUUCAGCAAUCAAUAACUGUGAUAUACUAAUGGUAAACAAUCUUGCUAGAGAGUAGAGGUGAAACUCCCAAAUGGAUAAUUGAAGAGUGAAAUAACACAAGUAUUGAGAUUGAUCAUAAGUCAAUGCUAUCAAUUACAGAAAGGCAUUGAGAAUCUUAACUCACCGGAUAUUCAUGGCCAAAAAGUGCUUGCAAGAAAGUAUAAGGAGAAGCAUUUAUAGGUUGCAACUUAUGAUAAACUGUAGUCAGAGGUAAAGGAUGUCUUGAUCCAUCCAAGUUGACAACAACAUAUCCACUAUUUGGCCGUCGCCCGACAUCAAUGAGAACAAAAGGCACCUAGAACAUAAAUAUGACAUAAGUACCAGAACUCUCAAACAAAUAAAGAUAACAAAAGAGAUAAAAAACAAAGAGACACUCCAUCAAGGUUGUCAAGAUCAAGAUCUUAUGGGAAACAUGUCACAAAUAUAGCUCGAAGAUAAGAAGUCCAUCCAUAAUAUAAAUAUGCAAAUAACCAUAAAAUCACAGACAAAUAUUCAACUAAAAUAAUUAAACAUAUUCAAAACGUUUGGCAUUUUCCACUAAAAUGGGUUAUUCUAAGCUAAAACAUAUCUAAGGUGCAUAAUUUUGAUGCAAGAGAGUGAGUUAUAUAGUAUGAAAACAACUAAUUAAUUAUGGAUAUUAAAAAAUCUACUAGGACAUCUGAGCUACGGAAGUCCCCAUGUGUACUGCACAGGAUAGGAUAGUAACUUCACCAUUGUUAUCAAUGUCAAAAUAUGGCGACUCUAUUCCAAGGUUCUGAAAACUGAAUCAGCUAUUGAAGCAAUCAUGGGACUUAUUAAAUAUUAUGUAUUCACUAUAUAUAUAUGUCACAUGACUACUUAAAAAGUCACAAUGUCAUGUGUAUCAUUUAAUCUUGAUGAUACAAAUUAGAAUUUAUUUACUUGUUGCACAAUAGCAAGGCUUCGCCUAAAAUGAUCCCUAUAAUAUCGAUGAAAAUUACUAAUUACAAAAUAGGGUCCAAAUGCUUUAUUCAAGCUUAAUAAAUAGCUUCAUAACAAGAAUGACAUUCAACGAUAUUGGCUAAUAGAGCAUUCCUUAAAAGUCUCACAUCAGAAGAUUUACUGCAGCAUCAAAACUUUCACCAAAUGUAAAACCCCAAGAAAUAGUAAUCCUUUAGGCACCUAUUCUCCGACCCAAGUUGAGUAUCAUUUAGAUUACUGCCUAUGCUAAGCCAGCAGAAUAGCUGGACUAAUGGGCCCUUAUGAUGCACAAAUACUCCAAAAUUGGUGAUGAGUCUGUAUAUGAUACCGAUACUCGUACAAUGCAAUUGCAUCGCAUUCUUGGCGUAUCCAUACUCAUUUUUGUGAAUACCCUCGAAGUACCACUACUUCAAAAAUACAUGGUACUAGGGUGGUGCAGAAAACAAGUGAAGAAGAAAAUUGAGCAAGGAAGAACAUGUGGGACUUGAGUUGGGAUAGGAUAAACACAUGCGGAUAAAUUAUACUAGAAAUUUUUUGAUGCACUGUGAACCUGAAUACAUAACAAAAGUUGUGUGUUACCUUCCUUAAAGAUGUGGACUCUUGUUUUCUCCAGGAUCUUGUAAAUAUAGCUCGAAGAUCAGAAGUCCAUCCAAAUAAGCCCUUCCAUUCAUUGUAUAUACACUUCAUUACAUUUAAAAAUUUAAAAAGAAAAUACAGUUAGUUUUCUAAUUCGCCACUAAACUGCAUGGGAUAUAAAUUGGAAUAAAAUUUAUACUGUUUUGAACAAUGAAAAAAGUUACCACUCCAAGACAUGAAAAAACAAUUUAAUCAAAUCUCAAAUAAGUAGCCACAUAUCGUUGUAAGGAUAUUAAUGAUUCAAACUGUUAAAACUGAUUACCUAUCCUUUUCUUACAAACCAAUAUAGUUACUCAAGAAUAAGAGCACACAUUGCUAAUAACACCUUAUGGCCAAAACAUUAUAAUAAAUCUAUUCAUAAGACAAAAGGUGAGUCUACAGAGACCUUGGAAAGAAGCAACCUGGGAAAAAGUGCAGCUAUAAAACAAAGGGUAAAUUACAAUGACCAACUUUGAGGUUUAACUUAAUUAUACCUAAUACCCAUCUUGUUUCAAGAGUCAUACACUCACUCAUUUCCCCUCAAGCGUGGCCAAUGUAAUUUCAAUCACCACCUCUAAGGUGAGGUAAGUUUAAGGAUAACAGAUAACAUAAAUCUCAAGGUCUGUAUAAUUUCUAAAACAAGAGUAGUACCCACUACCAUGUGUAAUUGAGCUAAACUAGUGUUUUAAAUUGCAUUCUUCAAUUGCAAUGGUGGCCACAGUAUUGCGGUUCAGGAGUCUCCACACAGGUACUGUGGCUGCAAUUUUCCACAAUUACAUUAAACACAACAUAACCGCCGCACCCGCAAUUUAAAACACUAACCUAAAUAUAUCACAAAAUCAAUCAAUGAAGGAGCGGUUGAGCUAUUUGCAGAUUAAGGGCAUUGGUUAGGAGGAGCUAGGCAGCUUUUAGCACGCGAAUAGAACGGAGUGAAAUAUAAAGGAAAAGAAUAUUAACAGAAUGAUUCUAUUUUAUACCAAAAUAUUCAACUCUGUUCUGAUUAUUAUAAAAUGCAUCAACUAUGGAAUAAAACUCACGUGUUACCAAACAAUACCUAGGUUAAAACUUAGAAGUGAUUUUCACUCCAAAAUUUGAACAAUUGCGAGCAAACAAAAUUAAACACCGAACCAAAGUUACCGUUUGAGUUCUUUGAAUAACAACGGCUUUAUCACCAGACUCGCGAGAAACCAAGACGCCGGGCAUCAAGGCUUUCCAGCUACCGUCAACGGCGGACUUGGCAUCAACGGUACCACGUACAAUUACUAUUUUACCAUCGCCGGAAUUUCCGUCCUCGUCGGAGCUCUCGGUGAGGAUAGAACGGAGGUCAGAGACAGAGAGGGAAGGUGCGGUGCGAAGCUUUCGGAGUGCGGCGGAGGUGGCGGUGAAAUUGAGAAGGGAACGGACGGCGGCGUAGGCAAAAGCAAAGCCCAAAAUGGCGCCAUCGAAGGAAAGGGCAAUCUGAGAGAGAAGGGAUACUAGGGCUUGAUCCUGAGAGGACAUUGACACUGUUUGAUCAUCAGAGAAUAACGAAGGGGCAUUGACGUCGUCGUUUAGAGAAUAACAUGUAGCAAUGGUCGGGUCCAAAUUAGGGUCUGUUAUUCCAUCAAAUCUAAAGGCCCAUAGAUUGACACGUGUCUUGGUUCCUUAAACUUUUUGUAUGUACCCGUUUAGUGUUUGGAAAAUUGGAAGAAAAAAAUGUACAUAUGAGAGAAUUUUUUAUUUUCUCAAAUACAACUAAUAAAUUUUUUAUAUUAUUAGUAUAUAAAUAUUACACUCUAAUUAGAAAACCUAAAUUAGUAUGUGAUUUUUUGUCUGGAGCCUUUUUUUUUUAAUUUCAAAGAAGUCCAAGGACUAAUGCGAUUAAAAAAUAUUCGCAAGACUAAAGUAUAAUUACUUAAAACCACCCCUUAACCCUAAACUAACAGGUUAUAUAAAGCCCCACUUAGCACACCUAAGAGGCAACUUAUCCUAAAACACAUAAGCAAUAGUUUUUUUUUUUAAAAGGGGUAGAGAUUAGCAUAGAAAGAAAAAGCAAUAAAGAGAUAGGAGAUUUUUUUUUAAAGAUAACAAAAUGAACCUUCUAUAUUGAGAACCAUCAUCUAGAGGCAAUUUCAUUAGGUUCACUUCUUACCUUAUUCUUUAUUCUCUAUUUUCUUUUGUUAGUUCAUUGCCAUAUUUUCAUUUUUUCAUGAUGUAACAUUAUUUGCAGUAAAAUGCCCUUUUGUUUUAUUAUUCAUUAACUCAAAGCCUGAAUCCUAACAUGGGCCAAAAAGAAGUGAGGUUUUAACUCCAUAGGCAGUGUCGCCUUCACGUCAUCGUGUGGCUCGAUCACACCAUGCUUGGUCGUCGGCUCACAACCAGACCGUUAAGCAAACCCCAUUUGGUCUCAGCGGCAUGUCACAGUGUUUCCGACAUGAUGCCUUGGCCCUCAAGGUCAGUCCCGACGGCAACACACGAACUCUGUUUGGGCUAUCUCGGCCAGCUCCGCCUCACCGCGGUGAUACCUUACUCCCAGCGGGAUGUCUUUUCCCCUUCUCUAGCACCGACUUUGCCAUAAAAAAGGAACCUGGACCUUCAGUCCAGGUGGGGAAGACGACCCCCAUCCUUUAUAUUUUUUACAUUUCUAUUCUCUUUUUUUCAUUUUAUUUAUUUAUUUUAAUUCUUAUUGUUUUAUUUAUUUAUUCAGCAUAUAUUAUUUGUUUAUUUUUUGUCAUGUACUAAUUAUCUUGUUUCAUACUAUGAGUAAUCUUAUUUUCAUUUGGGUCUAGUUAUAAUGUUCAUAUUUGAUAUAUGUGUAUAACCAUUUUAGGUUGUUGUUUGGUAUUAGGAUUAGGCUUAUCUCCUGCUUGAUUUACUUUUUUUUAUCCAUUCCUUUAUACUUUUUAUUAUUUUUAUAUUUUAUAGUCACUUGAAAAUUCAUUAAACUAUCAUAAUAAAAUAACAAAAAUACGUAUAUUCUUUUACCAAUGAUUCUAUUUUUUACUCGAGCGUAAAAAUAGUGUUUAAGGUAAGAAUUUGGGAGAUCGGUGAAUGAAUUGAACCAUAUCUUCAUUUCCAUUCGAAUAAAAAAGCGGUGAGCGGUUGUCAUAUUAUUUUUUCUUUCUAUGAUAAUGAGAUUGACGAUAGAUGAUAGAUGGUAUGUGUCAUCCUUAUCUUCUAAAAUUCUUACCCUAAUUUUUAAUAACAAAUUCCAUUUGACAAUUUCAAAAAUAAAAUAAUCAAUUAGGUCAUUAAUGUCACUUUUGUAAAUAUCAAAGCUGUCAGUAAUUAAUAUGUGUCAUAUUUAUUUAAAUCAUCAAUAAAUAAGAUCUAUUUUCUGAAAUUAUAUUUAAUGUGUGAAUCAAGGGUCACAAUCAUUAUUAUUUUAUGGUAUAAAUCUUUAAAAUAGUAGAUUUUUUUCAAAAAAUUAAUUCAAACAAAAAAUAAAUUUUUUAGUUCUAAGAUUAGAGAAGAGUAUCAACUUGGGUAUUAUUUUAUUAUCCUAUUAGUAGGAAAACAGUGAGCGGUUAUCGUACUGCCUCUUGUUUCUCUCUAAUAUUGAUAAGACAAUAUAUACCAAGAUCUUGUCUCAUUACUCUAUUUAAUUAAAAGCGGUGAGUCGUUGUUGUAUUGUCUCUUCUUCUUUUUUAAAUGCGUAAAGUGAUGUAGGUCAAAGUUGUAUCCCCUUCUUAACCCUAUCAGUUGAUAACUUGAGUCCUAUUUUUAUUAUCAUAUUUGUAAUAAAUCAGUAAGCGACUAUUGUACUGCCUCUUCUUUCUCGCUAAUAUGGAUAAGACGAUAUAAAUCAAGCCAUUAUCUUAUUAUCCUAUUUAAUUAAAAGCGGUGAGUGGUUGUCGUACUACCUCUUCUUUUUUAAAUGUGGGAAUAAUGAUGUAGGGUAAAGUCGUAUUUCCCUCUUUAACCAUACUUACUCACAACCAUCUUACAAAUUUCUCAAAUCACUUUUCAUAACUAAAAUUAAUCCAACACGCCAAAUAUUUUUCUACAAAAAACUAUGUAGUCUUGAUUUCCCUAUUGCACAUAGGGAUACGUUGGAACAAGAUGAACUAUUGGCAGACACAAAAAUAAAAAAAUAUCUUUUCUUUCAAUAAAAAUUACUUGAUUAAAUAAGCUUUUGGGUAUACUUAGUUCUAUGCGAUUUAUGCGGGUACCGUCUGAUAACGGGCGAACGUGGUGCUAAUACCUACCCUGAUCCGUAACCGAUUCCCGAGUGUAGAGUUCUUGUUCAAAGGCUAAUCUAUCCAAUAUUUGGGCACAAAAGGGAUUUCUACGUUUUUACCGUAAAAAUGUGGUGGCGACUCCCAACUAGUUGUGUGACCGGUAUUCGGCCAAAAAUCGGGGCGCGACAGCUGGCGACUUUAUUGGGACAUCCUAAGAGAGUCAAGCCUAAAGCAACGCAUAAAUUCACAUGUACCCCUUAAAGCUUGUUGUUUUACUUUUUUUAUUUUAUAUAAGUUAUUGUGUUUAUGUAUAUGUUUUUGAGGUUGUUUUGUAGCAUUGGGGGUUUUAUCUUUAAAAAAAGUUUGUAUGCUUCUCACACGCAACAUAUAAAUACAUAGUGCCUUCACACACACAUAUGUUCUAUACUCGGGUAUUAGAGAUAUCUCUUUUAUGAUUAGAAGGGACAUCUGCCUUACAUGAGCCUAAUCUUGUAUUGGCGUGAUGGACCGAUCAGAUUAUUACCGGUAUCAUAGGUUAGAUGCUCGAUGGGGCUCGAUUCCUCACGUUUUUAACUUAUGAUAUUUGGGUUUCUUUUCCUUCACGGGAGGAUGCAAUUUGGUGACUUUUUAGGAGUCCAGAACUUGUUAAGGAUUCCACUUUAAACAUACCCUACCGUCCCAUCCUAGGAAUGUGUCCUAUAGUUGUAUCCAUCAUAAGACUUGUCCAUGUGAAGCACAAGAAACAUGCUUCUACCCUCACAUUUUUUCUUCCAUUAUUUGGCUCUUCAUCAUGAGUUGGAACUUACCAACACCAUCACUUAUGCCUAAGUGAUAUCAUAGUGUUUUAACGUCUUUCUAUCAUGACGACGACAUAUUCAUAAAUAGACUCAUAAUGGGACCUCUUAUCCCAAGAGUGAUGUUAUAAAGCAAGGGGCAAGAAAACCAUUGUCCCUAGUCAACCUGAACGAUAUGAAAUAAGUCAAUCUAUCAUGGUAACUCUUAUUUUGUAAUGAGGUUGUGUUUCCUGUGGACACGCCGUUGACCUUAGGGCCUGCACUUUGCACUUAUGAUUUGGCACAUUCUUAAACUUUUGCACUAUCAUGCAUUCAUUUAUGGCAUUUUACUAACUCUUGUCUCAUAGUUUUUUCCAGGUUUGUUCGAGAGAUCGUCUUCAUAUAACAAAGUGACAAGAUGACCUUACCAAUUCAAGUCUCUACUAGUGUUUUGUACGCAAGAAAAUGUUCAAAAGUAGAAGUGCAUAGUAAUGAUGUCAGUUUCUUGAUUGCAUGCAUAGAAUACUAGAUGAGAUACAAGAGCUGUUUAUGAGAGAGUAUGGAAGGUUGAUAGAUCUUAUCCUCAUACUUGUGGACAAUGUGACCCUAAAAGCUAUGGCCACCAUGGCACAGUAUUGGAAUACUGGACUAAGGUUCUUCGAAUUCCCAAAUGUUGAUGUCACGCCUACUAUCGAAGAGUAUGAAAUCUUGCUAGAAAUACCAAUGUCGGAUAAACUGAGGGUAUAUAUGUUCACUAAACCUAUGGAAGUUAACGAAGAUACUAUUGAAAAAUUUCUAAAGGUGCAACCUGAACCAUCCAGUAUUAUAAAACAAGCCAUAACUCUAGGUCUCAAAUGGGUAUUUCUGAAAAAGCAUAUUUUCAAAAUGGAAGAGCAACAAAAUUGGGAAAUGUUCAAACCAGCAUCUGCUCUCGCCAUUUAUGGGAUGGUCAUGUUUCCCUUCUUUAAUGACAUGAUAGACCAAUCAGCGUUCAAUGUUUUCUACAAGUUCAUUCGCUUUGAAGUCAACCCAACAUCUGCCGUACUUGCUGAGUCUUUUCUAUCAUUUUAGAAAGGUUAUUUGAUAGGUGGUAAUGAAAUCAGGUGUUAUGUUCAGCAGCUCUACAUAUUGAUGAUGACACGUUUCAAGCAUCAUUCCUACGGUCUAGGAAGUCGUUAUGCGCUUAGGAGGUUUAAGAAGGUUUCCACAAAAGAAAUACAACUUAGUAAAUGAGCGAAGCCCCCCCCUCGAAAUUUUGGAACCAAGUGUUGCUUGUAUGAUCACCAUGAGAAAAUCAUGUAUUCUUGUAGAGGUUAUCCUAAUAUGAUACUCAUGGGACCAAGAGGAUGUAUUGCUUUAAGUUAGCCCUAAUACUUGGGCAACUGAAGUGGGGAAUAAAUCGAAUAAGAGAUGACCAGUUGUAGGGGUUCCUCUUUUGGUAAAAGGAUGAAGUAGCUCCUGAAGGGGCUGUAGAAUCAACAAGGAAGGCUUUACAACAAAUCCGCUUAUUUGGAGAAAACAAGUUGGGGGAGCGUAAGACUUUUUACACCGAAGAACACAAAACCUAGAGGAACGAGAGAAUCAGAAAGAGUUGUAUGCUAGAGCCCACCUUGCCUAAAGACAAUGGAGGCCCCUCACUAGAUGAAAUCAUGUGGCGUGAAAAAUGUAAACUCUUGGAAGCUCGUUUAGAGGAGGCAAGAGAUCAAAAUAAGAAAUAUGAGUUUACCAUUGAGAAGCUCCAGAAGUCCAGCAAAAAUUUACAUGAGGAGGUAGCCAAAUCUAAGAAAUAUGCUAGAAUGUGCUCCAAAUCUAAGAAGUUCAAGUUGAUAAGAGAAAACAAUGAUCUAAAGCAAUGGCUGAAAGCCAAAAGUUGUGUUGCUAUGAAUAAUGUGCAAGAAAUGAAGAAAAUGAGAGAAACUUCGAGAUAAUCAUGGUUGAUCUUGAACAGAGUUAGAAAGAGGCUUCUUAAGCAAUGAGCACAACAAGGGAUUACCAAGCGGCCCCAUAACAAGCUCAUAGAAGAGGAGUAGAGAUGGUGGCAAACCAUCAGUUAGACAUGGAAAGGACCAACCAUAGAAAAAAUCGACUUACUGCUGAUUUGAAAGAUCUUACGGAGGCAUACGACAAAAUCUUGAAGAAAUAGAAAGAAUGGACCGCAGGUUGGGAUGAAACUCUUAUGGAAUGUGAAAGGGCCAAAGAGCAAUGGCAAAGAAGAUGCAACGACGUGAUUAACGGGCUCGAGGAUUUUGUAGAUGAUUGGUUACAAAUUGUUGGUGAGGCUAGAUGUGAACUCAAUGCAAACCUUAACAUUAAUUGAAGACCAACACUAGAAGCAUUCCUCUCUAAUUAUUCCAAAGUAGCCCGACAGUAAGAAGAUGGAGGAAGGAAAGCAACAGAGAAAUUCAUUUCUAACAUUUAUUUGUACUUGUAAGAUUUCGAAUUAGAAGCAAGAGGAAUAAAAAUGUCUAAUGUAAACUACCUUUACUUUGUAUGGUCUUUCAAAAAAAUGAAUGAAAUAUCAGAAUCUUUUCAUCUUCACUCAAGGGCAUCACUUAUGUACAUAAAAAAAGAGCUAAAUGGCACAAACUACUUAUACACCACUACAGACUAGUCUUAAGAUGCAAUCUUGGUCCGAAAUCUAGUGUUUCCUCUAAAGAUUGUCAUCAAUCACACGCAACCUAGGAAUAGUGCUUCCUAGUCAUCAAAUGCGGGAUGAAGUGUUUUUUUUUAUAUUGAAGGGUUUCUCCACAAGCCAGGUAAACCAUUGCCUCAAAGCACCACUAUAACACUCGGUUUCUAGCAAAGAAAGUGGCAGAGUCUAUAACCAGUAAGGACAACAUGUCCGAGUUAGUAGAACUUAAGGCGUAAAUGAGUGAAAUAUUCAACAUGCUCAAGGCAUUGCAAAGUGAGAAGAGGGAAAACACUUAAACUAUCAAUGUGGGACCAUAGAGCAAUCUCGCUCAAUUUCCUAAGGGGCAACUCUGGUCAAGGAGCUGGUACAAGCAUCUAAGGGAAUAAGCAAUGAAGUGGCCCUUCUAUGGGAUGCCCUUUAAUUAUGUUCCACUUUAUGAGGACGAGCUUAAUAAACCUUACGGUCAAUCUAAUGCUCAUCUGGAGCAGCCAACACCUAAGGUGAACAUGAACAGGAUGAUGAAGACGCCACCUACGAACCCUCUCAAAAGGUUGCGGUUAAUAGGUCUGCACCACACCUUCAAAAUUCUAUAACAUACCAUAGGACAACUCUAGGGCCCUAAUUUGGUGACAUUGCUAGAGCAGAAAAGUUAAGCCUAAUUGAGGAGAGGCAUAGAGAAAUAAAGGGAGCGAGUUUUCCAGACUUUAAGAAUGCAUUUGAGAUGUGCCUUGUGCCGGAUGUGGUGCUACCUCCAAAGUUCAAGGUGCCUGAAUUCAAAAAGUACAAUGGGACGACCUGCCCAAAGAUCCACAUGCACAUGUAUGUUCGCAAAAUGUCGGCUUGAGAGGACUAACAUUCGAACAUUUCUAGACCUGUCUAACACAUUUUUUUGACAAUAGAAAUACAAUAAAGAUGUUGCACCUAAUAGGACACAAUUAUAGAACAUGUCCAAGAAGCCUCAAGAGACCUUCAAAGAGUACACACAACGUUGGAGGGGAUUGACCUCUCAAGUGCUUCCAAAGCUAGAAGAAGAACAACAACUCUAUUUUUGUUGACACUCUGCAAAAUCUAUAGCCUUUGUCCUCAAUGCUCUAAUAAGAGUGGGAGAGAAGGUCGAAAUAAGGAUCAAGAACGGGAAGAUUACAGAUGACCAAGCAAAUACCAAGAAACCAGGGUUCAUGAAGAAGAAAGAAGGCGAGACAUAUUUUGUAUAUAACGACUCCAAGAAGCAAUCAGACAAUAAUUAUCAAUACCAAACCUACACAAACAACUAAAGGUAAGAGAAUGGUGUUUGAUCUUAUCCCCAUGCCAGAUGCAGACAUAUUCACAUGGGGCAAAGAAUUAUAGCCCUAAUUUCGGGAAGAAUUCCCAAAAAUCCAGGGCCACGGUUCAACCCCAAUAUCUCAUACGCAUACCACUCUAGAACUGUGGGGCAUUCCAUAGAGAAUUGCAUAGCCUUGAAAUUCAAGGUACAACACCUCAUCGACUCGAAAUGGCUCAACUUUAGACAAUCGGCGCCAAAGUCAAUAAUAAUCCUCUGCCAAAUCAUGGGAACCAUGAAGUAAAUGUUGAUGAAGAGGCUCAAGAGGAAUCUUUCCUGAAGGAUGUGUCUGAAAUACACACCCCGAUGAAAGUUGUCUUCACGGAAAUGUGCAACCAAGAUAUGAUUGAGGUGUUAAAAGAAACUGCAGAAGGUUGUGAGAUGCAUGGUUUAGUGGGCCAUGAAAUUGAAGAUUGUGCAGAAUUCAAAAUUUUGCUACAGAAAAUGAUGGAUACCAAAUUGGUGGUUGUGGGGAGAAGAUCUACAUGCCCAGAAGUCAAUAUAGUAGGAGACAAUGAAGAUAUAACACCAUUUGUCCCAACAUUGGUUCAAUUCGAGCUAGUGUUGAUAUUCCAAGGGGUAUUGUAAGACUGAGAUGACAACAAAGAGAAGAGGGGGUGAAUUAGUUGUCUUAAAUCUUUGUCAGAUUUUUAUGCAAUUAUCGGAGUUAGUAACAGCGUAUAAGUUAUGCAAAAAAUUAUCAACAAAUUUAAAGAGAUAAGGGAGAAGAGAGUACUAAGAGAUUUUUAUACUGAUUCACCUUCUUGUCCACCAAAGGUUACGUCUAGUACUCUUGCAGCACAAGAGAUUUCUUCAGUAGAUAUUAAGAGUAGCAAUUACAAAUUCUCACCCCGAGAUUUCCUUGUACCUUACUCACUCUCUAAUACAUAUAUCACUCUAUGGAAAAUAACCUUUCCAAGUGACUCUAUCCCCUUUCUUAUCACACCCUUGUGAAAGAAAGUAUUUAACAAAUUGAAUGAAGAAAACUUUAACUAUGGCAAGGAUUGCCUUUACAAGAUUUGAAACUAUGAACUCUUCCAAUCCAAUAACUCUUUAUAUACACUUAAUAAUAAUGCUCAUAAAGUUUAAAUAACUUUGAAACAAAAGUUAGGGCAACUUCAGAAAAUAUAUUCUGAAAGUUAAGAACAAGUUGCAAAAAGUGCAGAGCAAGUAUUUCAGAAAAGUUUAGAUCGUGUAUAUGAGUUGUGUGUUUAUGAAUUAUAAGUUUCAGUGUCUUUAAAUAGGCUUUCCAAUCAGCCAUAACACCUCUAUGAAAAGGUAGGAUUCAAGCGGAAAGAAACCAUUUCGUUUGGGGUGAAAGUUGUGCAGUUUGAAUAUGAAAACUGGUGCAACAGCUCUCAGUAAUCGAUUACGAUAUUGACAUAAUUGAUUACCCAAACAUUUUGUCCAACCGAGUAAUUGAUUAUCACAUAGUGUAAUCGAUUACCCAAAGGAUGUAAUCAAUUACCCAAACAUUUUGUCCAUUUAAAUAACUGAUUAUCACACUGUGUAAUCGGUUACUCACGAGAUGUAAUUGAUUACCCAAGUAUUCUGUUCAACUGAAUACUUGUAAUCAGUUACUCAAAUACGUGUAAUCAAUUAUCAUGUUCAGUUUUUGUUGGGUAACUCAUUUCUAACUCAUGUAACCUAUUACUUAGUUCUGGUAACCCGUUACUUAGUCACAGUAACACGUUACUUAGUCACAGUAACACGUUACUUAGAUCCAUUAACCUGUCACACAGUAUUUUGAAAAUUGUUUUCAUUUAUACUUAUAGUUUUCAAUUUUCUCUUAAAAUACUUUUGAGCAUUGCUACUAUUUGUAUAUAAUAGAGUAUAAGGAUAGAAGUACCUAUAGACUUAGAUUCUAAUUUCUUGAAGCUUUAUCUUCAUUAUCUUCAUAAGUAUUAUUCCUUUUCUUCUUUAUAUGAUGUUGGUGUCUUCAUCAAAACUGUGCCAAGGUCAGGAGCAAGAUCUUCUUCACAGGUAUAUCACUAGAUUUGCCUCAACCAUAGUGGUUCUCAUACCUCACAAAAAUGGAGGUUAUAGUAACAGACAUACCUCACCCAUUUCCCUAUGAAUCAGACAGAGUAGUACCUUCGAGGUAUGGUGGGCAAGUCAUCACACCAUCGGAACGUGCAUUAGAGGUAACCAACAUUGCUGCAGUCAAUAGAAUUACCCGGAGCGAUAGAGUCUAUGGACCUCCAGAGACAGGGAAAAACAUAGUCACCAUCUAUAAAGGGAAAAAGGAGAUUGAUGCUCCAACAAUCCCUAAAAUUGGCAAGGAGGGAUCGCCCAUGGAUGAGUUGAAAUAUGGCCAAGAGAUUUCUAAUGAGCAAGCUAGUGAGUUCCUCAAGUUUAUAAAGAAAAGCGAAUAUAAGGUGGUUAAUCAGCUAAGGCACACACUUGCUAGAAUAUCCAUACUUUUGUUGCUAAUGGAUUCGAAGCCUCACAUGAAUGUGCUACUUAAAAAAUUUAAACCAGGCCCAUGUUAGUCAAGACAUAACUAUAGAUAAUUUCGGUGGUAUUAUGAAUAACAUUGUUGCUGAUAAUUUUCUAUCCUUUAGCGGUCAGGAAAUGCCAUGUGAAGGGAAUGGCCACAUCAACCCUCUCUACAUCUCUGUCAUGUUCCAAGACUGUGUGAUUGGAAAAGUCCUCAUAGAUAAUGGUUCAUCUUUGAAUAUGAUGACUAAGAGAAUGUUAUUUAGGCUCUGUGUCAACUACUCAUAAAUGAGGCUAAGUUCUAUGAUCAUUAAGGCAUUUGAUGGGUCCAAGAGAGAGGUCAUGGGAGAAAUUGAAUUACCCGUAAAAAGUGUGAUGGACAUAAACCCAACAUAUAGUUGUUUGUUAGGUAGACUAUGGAUUCAUGUUGCAGGAGUAGUUCCCUCAACCUUGCAUCAACGAAUCAAAUUCAUCAUUAAUGGCAAGUUAUUGAUAAUAAUAGGUCAGGAUGAUAUGCUAGUAUCUUGGCCCUUUGAUACCCCAUAUAUUGAAGCCGCCAAAGAAACACUCGAAACCUCAUUUCAGGCUUUGGAAUUUGCUAACACCAUAUUUGUAGAAGAAGAAGCUUCGAUUAUGAGGUCAUAUCCAUCUGAAGCAGCCUUAAUGAUGAUCAAGGUCAUGAUUAAGAAAUGAUACCAGCCAGGGAAGGGCCUAGGAAAAUAUGGGUAGAGGAUAGAAGACAUAGUGAUACUCCCAUAAAAUAAAGGGUGUUUCAGUCUGGGCGAUAACCCAACCAGAACCGACAAGGAAAGGAUAUCAGAGCAGGCAAAAAGGAAGAAGUAGGCUCGCAUGGGGCAGUUUGAGUACAAGAAGCCAAAUUUCCCUAUUCCACACUUCAAGCCAAGUUUUGUCAGCGUAGGGUUUGAGUCUUAUGAUUCGUUCUCCAUGCUUGAAGAGAAAUGCUCAUGUUAGUCAGGGGAUUAUGUUUUCCAUUGCACCCUAGGUACAAUUCUCUCCAACUGGGUUUAGGUCGAAGCACCAUCAUCAGUGUUCUGGGAAGACAAAUAAUCUAGUGUUAUACAUCAUUAGCCAUUCAUAGGGCUAUUUGAUGUUGUUGUUUCUUUCUUUAAGAUUGAAUUUUAAUUUUUCAUUUAUGUACUGGUACAAUUUCAAUGAAUCAAUUCAUGUAUUUGCAACUUUCCCAUCAUAUAUAGCACUAUACCAUACAAAUGUUAGUCUUUUCGUUUAUGUUUGUUUUCACCCUUUAUUUCUCAAUUACUUUCUUUCCAAAAACAAAAAACAAAAAAAUGACCAAUAGAAUGCCAAAAAAAAUUAACAUAAGAAAAAACAUUGUCCUAUUGUAAUGGAGAUCUGAAAGUGAUUCCAAAAAUAAUGACCAUGUUAACAAUCAUUCUUUUAACUUUGAUCAUCCUGUAAACUUGGUAGGAGAGGAAGAUAGUGAUGAUGACUAGGAAGCAUCUCUUGAGUUAUUAAGAUUGGUUGAACAGGAAGGCAGAGAGAUUGAACCCCAUGAUGAGCCUAUUGAGCUAGUAAAUCGAGGAACAGAGGAUGACAAGAAAGAGAUCAAAGUAGGCACUUUGAUGGACCCGAGUGAAAGGAACAAGCUAAUCAAAUUACUACUUGAGUAUAAAGAUAACUUCGCUUGGUCAUAUAGCGACAUGGCGGGUCUAGAUUGCAGUAUAGUGGAGCAUAAAUUACCUAUAAAACCUGAGUCUCCACCGGUCAAGCAGAAAUUAAGAAGAAUGAAGUCAAACCUUUCUCUGAGGGUGAAAGACGGAAUCCAAAAAUGGUUAGCAUCUGAAUUCAUAAAAGUUUCAGAGUACCCCCGAAUGGGUGGCAACUCUGGUCGUUGUAUCAUAUAAAGAGAGGAAACUUCGAAUAUGUGUUGACUAAUGAUAUCUCAACAACGCGAGCCGAAAAUAUGAUUUUCCAGUGCCCCACAUAGACAUACUAGUGGAUGGCACAGUAGACCAUGCACGGUUCUCAUUCAUGGACGGAUAUUCUGGUUACCACCAAAUCAAAAUGAUAGAAGAGGAUGUAGAGAAGACCAUUUUCAUCAUAAUGUGGGGAACCUAUUGCUAUCAGGUUAUGUCAUUCGGUUUAAGAAAUGUUAUAGCCACAUAUUAGUGUGCCAUGGUCGCUCUUUUCCAUGACAUGGUGCAUAAAGAAGUUGAAGUCUAUGUCGAUGAUAUAAUAUGCAAAUCAAAGACUAAAGGGGAGCAUAUGUGAAACCUGCAGAAGCUAUUCAAAAGAUUACGAGAUUAUAACCUCUAACUGAACCCCGUCAAGUGUAGUUUCGAGGUUAAGCCAGUUCGAGUUCUUGGCUUUAUAGUCAGUCAGAAGGGCAUUGAGGUAGAUCUGGAAAAGGUGAAAGCUAUCACUGAGAUGCCUCCUCCUAGAACAGAAAAAGAAGUUAGAGGUUUCUUGGGUCGGCUGAACUGCAUCUCCAGAUUCAUAUCAAAGUUGACAACUACAUGUGAGUCCAUCUUUAAGCUCCUAAGAAAGAAACAAAUCGUCAAGUGGAAUGAAGAAUGUCAAAAGGCUUUUGAAAAAAUUAAGCAGUACCUAUUAAAGUCACCUGUAUUAAUGCCUCUUAUACAUGAACGACCAUUGAUAAUGUACCUAACAGUAUUGGAUGACUCUAUGGGGUGCGUCUUUGCUCAACAUGACAAAUAUGGCAAGAAAUAGUGGGCUAUCUAUUACUUGAGUAAGAAGUUCACAAACUGUGAGACAAGGUAUUACUUGCUCAAACGAACAUGUUUCGCCUUAGCUUGGGUAUCACGUUGGCUGAGGCAAUACAUGUAAAGUCCUACUACGUGGCUUGUGUCUAAAAUGGACCUAGUGAAACUUAUUUUUGCGAAACUAAUGUUGAUGGGUAGAAUUGCCAGGUGGCAAGUACUAUUAUCAGAAUAUGACAUAGUCUAUGUCACCCAAAAGGUGAUCAAAGGAAGCGCACUUGCUGGCUACUUAGCCAAUCAACCGGUAGAAGGACAUGAGUCAAUGCAUCAAGAGUUUCCUGACAAGGGUAUCAUGAAUUUUUUCCUUAGAAGACCAAGAGGAAUCUUAUGAUAGGAGAACGAGAAUCUUAUGAUAGGAAGUUGAUACCUUAUAGAGAUCACAUACAGAGGCUAGUUGAACAAUUUGAGCAUGUCAAUUUCUAUCACAUCCCUAGAAAAGACAAUCGGUUGGUUGACGCAGUAUCCACCUUAUCCUCCAUGUUCCACAUCAGUGGAGAUGACCAACCUCUAAUCAGUAUAGGAAGCAGAGGUUAAUCAACUUAUUGAAAUACCAUAGAAAUAGAAGGAUAUGUUAAACCUUGGUACCACAAUAUAAAAGAAUACGUCAAGAGGAAAUAGUAUCUUCCAAGUGUCUCAGAUAAUGACCAAAGGACCUUAAGGAAAUUGGCCAUAAGUUUCUUCUUAAAUGAGGAAGUGAUUUAUAAAAGGAACCAUGACAUGGUACUCCUUAGGUGUGUCGAAGUAAAAGAGGCGGAUGUAAUCCUUACAGAUGUACACGAGGGUUUGUUUGGGACCCACGGAAACAGACAUGUCAUGGCUAGGACGAUAUUAAGGGCAGACUAUUACUGAUUAACCAUGGAGACUGAUUGCUGUAACCAUGUAAGGAAAUGCCACAAAUGUCAAAUUUAUACCAACAAUAUCAAUGCAUCCCCAAAUCCAUUGAAUAUUCUAUCAGCACCAUGGCAUUUCUCUAUAUGGAGAAUGGACGUCAUAUGACCCAUUAAUCAUAAAGCGACUUUAUAAGCCAAUAUUACCUGAUAGGUAGUGGUUAGGUUCAUUUAGAAGGAGUUGGUAUGUCGUUAAUGUCUACCAAGUAAAAUCAUCACGGAUAAUGCCACCAACCUGAAUAACAAGCUAAUGAGUGAGACAUGAGAAAAUUUCAAGAUCAAGCAUUAUACAUCUUUGCCCUACCAUCCUAAGAUGAAUGGCGCAAUUGAGGCUAUUAACAAGAAUAUAAAGAAGAUUGACCAAAAGAUGGUAGUAACUUAUAAUGAUUGGCAUGAAAUGUUGCCUUUCACCUUACAUAUAUACCACACUUUUAUUCGUACUUCCACUAGGGCCACGACUUAUUCCCUGGAAUACAGAAUGACUUAUUCCCUGGAAUACAGAAUGGAUGUAGUUCUUCCUAUCGAGGUAGAGAUCCCAUCAUUAAGAAUUAUUGAAAAGUCAGAAUUAGAAGAAAUAGAAUGGGUUCAAGCUCCUUAUGAUCAAUUGAACCUAACUGAAGGAAAAAAGGUAAGUUGUUGUGUGCCAUGGACAACUUUAUCAGUGAAAAAUAAUGAAAGCCUGUGCAAAGAAAGUUCACCCACGUCAAUUUCAAUUAGGAGACAUGGUAUUUAAGAAGAUUUUACCAAUUCAAAAAGACCAUAAGAGAAAAUGGACUCCGAAUUAUGGAGGCCUUAUAUAGUGAAGAAAGUUUUCUCUGGUGGAGCCUUAAUACUGACUAACAUGGAUGUAAAUGACCUGCACAUGUCGGCAAACACAGAUGUUGUGAAAAAGUAUUACGCCGAAAGAGGUUUUCCCUUGGAAAUGUAGUGAAGAAAUAUAUCAUAUUUCUCAAUCAAGGUUUUAUUGAUGCAUUAUACAUUGUCACUUUUAUUUGUUGUCUUGCAUGAGAAUGAUAUAAAGAAAACCCAACUGAUGUGAACGUGGAUAGACCUACUUAGUUUUGAUGAAGACUAGGAGUUAAAUGGAAGCUUAAAGACUUGGACGUCACCACAUGGACUGGAGAACCAAUGAGUGAAUAAGUUUUUGGAACUAAGAGGUAAAAUCUAUCCUUCGCUCAUUCGGGAAUUUUACAACAACUAUAGGUAUAAGGAUGAGGUUUAUUCUUCAAUGGUUAUGGGAAAAUGAUAGUAUUGGAUGAGGAACUCUUUCUGGAAGUUGGAGGUCUAACUAGUAAUGGACCAAUGUUAGGAGAAUGUAACAAUGAGUUGUGGGACUCAUUUGAUGUUGUUGAGAUGUACAAAUCAUGCAUAAGAGGGUCUCACUUGUUUGUACAAGGAGAAUUGACCAAAGCUGGGUCAUUAUCUAUUGAAAACGGGCUCUUACUUUACCUAAUUGCGUAUAUUUUAGUUCAAAGGAAUACAAACCAUGCUCAACCUACAAUCAAUGAUCUCAAGCUCAUGUUCGCCAUAAGGGAAGGCGUUAUUGUAAAGUGGCCUUUAGAAAUCUUGAAAGUUGUGAAUGGCAUAGCUUCGUCUUCAUCUAGGUUGCUUGUCUAUGGGAUUUUCAUCUCCCGUGUCAUUGACUACUAGGAAAUCUACACGUCAUAUGUGGACACAAUGACGAGAAACUCCCGAGAGCACCUUGUAGGUGACAAUCUUAUUCACAAGAUGGGCAUAUACAAGUAUGGAAAUGUAUGGAAAUAUCAAGAGGAUUACAAUGCCAACAUGAAUGAAAACUUACGAAAUGAAGACCGUGCUGAAAAUCCUCGUGAGCCAAAUCUUGAGCAAUCACAAAUUGAGGCAAAUGUUGAACCUCAGGUACCAUCGUUUGGGCUUGCACAGUUGGAUGCUAUGAAACUACACCUAAAUGCGAGAACUGAUGAUCAUUUUCAGUCCUUGAGAGACUUUAUGCCAGAUGAGUUCCAACAGCAACAAUAAAGAUUAUCGAAGGAGCUUGAAUGCUUCAGCUUCGUUAUGAGCACCACUCGUGGCUUUUCAUCACCACCACCACCACCUCAAGAGUAGCCUACAUAGGAUUUUCUAGAGUUUAGGGUGUGUGUGUUUGCUUUUGAGACUGUAUUUUGAUGUUGGUUGUAUUUUGUUGUUUCUGUUGAACUUACCUAUGUACUUGAUGCACUUAUUUUGUAAUGUCUUGUAAACUUUGUUAUUAACUUGGAUUAUGUUUCAAUUAUUAUGUGAGCCUUUGACCUUAUCUAGUUGUGUAUCUCUUCUAUUGAAUGGUUAAUAUGCUCUGUAUGUGAUUUAACCAAAAUCAUUAAUCAUUCUAUGCAAUAUAUGUCAAACUUGCACAAAUAGAUAUAUCUCGCAAUUAAUUUCUGUCAUAAUGUGUCUUUAUUAUGAAUAAUCGAUUAACUCCAUGAAAAUAAUCGAUUAAUGAUAAACAUUAUGCACUUGUUCAAUUGUUUUUAGACUGCUUAGUCGAUUAUCCUUGAAUAUUUAAUCAAUUUAGACUAGUAAAUUUUGUGUAUAUCUUUCCUUGCUUUUGGCUAUUAAUAUCAUACAUUAUCAUAGCUUUUUGAUCAUGCCAAAAGGGGGAGAAAGUGUUGUUUGAGUUGUUUCGCAGGUUGUAGUGAGCUUCCGCAUAUAAUCAUGAAAUGCUUCCUGUGAGUCACCUCUUACAUGUUUUAAGGGGAAGAACAAAGUGAGGGGGAGCACCGCAUUCCGAUUCAACCAUUGCAAACAUAUUCUGUCCAACAUCAAGCCAUCAAAAAAGUGAUAUGUUUCUGAGUUUGUCAUCAUCAAAAGGGGAAGAUUGAAAUGGUAAACAAUCAAAGUAUGCCAUCAAGAUUGACCUCCUUAGUUUUGAUGAAGACAAGGAGUUACAUGGAAGCUUGAAGACUUGGAUAUCACCACAAAAAAACAUACCGAAAACUCAAGGUCAACGUCCUAGAACUAUAUAUAUAUAUAUAUAUAUAUGAUAAGUAAGACUCAUGUAUUCGCAUUAGGCAUACAUGAUUUUGUGCAUAAAGAAAUCAAUCAUUUCAAAAAUCAUGAGCUGCACGUUCUUUCAUCAUAUACAGUGUAUACCAUACAUUUAGGAAAAACCAUUUUCACACAUUAUAACCGAUUAGCUCAAUUGAUAAUUGAUUAAAUCUUGUUAAAACCCGUUAAUCGAUUAAGGAAAUGGGUAAUCGAUUAAAAGAAGUUACAGUAGCUAACCUCCUAGGAUUUCUGGCUUAUUAAUCGAUUAAGAAAGUUAAUAAUAAAUUAAGCCAUAACUGAAAAUUGUUUUAAUAAACACAUUAAUCGAUUAACCACUUAUAUAAUCAAUUAAUAUCAGUUAGACUCAGUUAUAUACAAUAGCUGUUACUUUAAACAAAACACAUAAAGUUUUUAGAAAACAGAUUUCGAAUUUUCAAUUCAGAGACAGAGAGAAAAACUCAAGAUUCUUAUAGCUUAAUUGUCAAAUUUAUCCUGCUGAUCUUCGAGAAGUUUUUCUUGCAUUUUUGUACAAGAGAGAAAACAAAGAGAAAAAAGAUAAAUUCUUUUCCAAAAGUGCUGAAAGUUUUCAUUCAUUUGAAAAACCUUGCUUAAUUUUCACAUCUAGUUUUAGGGUUGUUUAUGAGAGCUCUGUCAGGGGUUGUAGAGUCGAAUUCAGAGUCUUUAUCCUCACAUUUGGUGUGCAAAGUAACUCGGCAGAUUUUCUAUUAUUCAAGGAUAAUUCUCGUGGUGUGUUGGUAUCAUCACAGUAGAGAAUUACUAGUCUUCACGAGGUAAGAAGUCUUGAAUCGAACGAUAGUUUCAGGUGGGGCCAGAUUCACGAAUGGUGUUGUAUCCUAGUAGGCAGUUAGAUUGGUCAAACCGAGCGUGUAGACUGAACGGGUUCAGGAAAGAAGUUCUUGCUAGGUGUAUUGGAGGUGUGGAUGUAAUCAAACAUACAUUUCUGAUAGUGAAGAAAAUCUCCCAAAUUAGCCGAGAGGCCCGAAUGUAGUUUGCAAGUGGACCCACAAACAAAACAGGAUAAAAAUCCUCGAGCAUCUUUCUCUUUUGUCUUUACUUGUUUUCCGUGUUUAAUUGCAUUCUGUGAUUAGUGCUAAUUGUUGUUAAUCUAUGAAUAAUCAAAAAUCAAUUUAGGUUGUAACAUUCAGAAAUCAUCAUUGUUUUCAUCACAAGAAAAGUAUGUUUUUCAAAGAAUCAAUAAUUAGCAUAAUCGAUUAACAAGCUAACUAUAAUCGAUUAAAUCAAAUGUCAUUAAUCGAUUAACCCUGUUAUUAAUCGAUUAACUGCAACAACUUUGUAUUAUGCGUAUAAAUUAGAAAAGCGGGAUUAGUGUCCACUACACCUAUUCACCCCCCCCCCUUAGGUGUAUUUUACCUUACUAGUACCCAACAAGUGGUAUCGGAGCUACAACGAAGGUGCUAGCUUGGCCGCUUAAUUCAUUGAUCCUAGGGAUUAUCACUAUGGGUUCCACUAACCCUUUCGACGGUGAUGGAGCAUCCAUUAACCGCCCUCCGAUUUUCAUUGGCGAGGGGUACGCCUACUAGAAGGUGCGUAUGAGAAUCUUUAUUGAGGAAAUCGACACGAAGAUUUGGGACUCUGUUGUCAAUGGGCCUUUUACUCCACUACACUUGGUGGAUGGUGAACCCGAAGAAAAACCAAAAGGAUUGUGGACAGACGAAGAGAAACGUAAAGUCCAGCACAAUCUUAAGGCAAAGAACAUAAUAACUUUUGCCUUAUCAUACGAUGAAUUCUUCAGGGUAUCAUAAUGCCAAAAUGCAAAGGAAAUGUGGGAUAACUUACAAGUAACCCACGAAGGCAAAAGUGAAGUUAAGCGCGCAAGAUGGAAUGCGUUAACACAUGAAUAUGAGUUGUUUCAUAUGUUUCAAGAUGAAUCAAUAAGUUAAAUGCAAACAAGAUUCACUCAUAUUGUUAAUCAUUUAAUUGCUUUAGAUAAGAGUUUUGCUAUUGGUGAACUUGCUAACAAAGUGUUGCAUUGUCUUGAUAGGAAAUGGUAGCCCAUGGUAACGACAAUCAUGGAAUUAAAAGACUUAGAUUCAAAGCCUCUAGCAACUCUCUUUGGCAAACUCCAGGAGCAUGAAAUGGAGUUGGGGCGCUUAACCAUGCAUGAAGAUUCAGACAUAAAGAUAAAAGGAAUCUCUCUAAAAGCUACAUCGUCAUAAGAACAAGAACUUAGAGAUUACGAAGAUUCUGAGUCUGAUAGAUAACGAAAUCUUAACUCUCCUAGUUCGAAAAUUUGGCAAAUUUCUCAAGAUGAAAGGAGGGUUCAAGCGUUUUCAAAAGAAAGAGGUGAGUGAUUCAACCAGAAGAGGCAAAGCUCCCAAAGAUCGCCUAAUUUGCCACGAGUGUGGCAAAGUAGGCCAUAUGAAAUAUCAAUGCCCGAGUCACGUCAAGAAGGUUGAAAAUGAAAAGAGAAACCCCCGAGAAUUUAAAUCCCAUAAGGCUUAUAUAGUUUGCGAUGCACCGGAGGACGAAACAACAACUAGCACAUCCGAUGAGGAGGUGACCGCCAAACUAUGGUUAAUGGAAAACACUCAAGAAAUGGAAGCACAAGUGAUCAUGAUGGCACAAGUAAGGUACAAUAUUUUGACACUUCUUCGUGCUCUGAUGAGUCUCCUACGUACGAUGAAUUGUAUAGUGCUUUUGUUGAGUUACAUUAGGAACUAAAGAAACUAGCUAAGGUAAAUAUAGAUAGGAAACGAGUCAUCAUGUUGCAUGAAAAUAAAAUAACUAAAAUGCAAGAGGAAUUGAAUGAAUUAAAACUAUAAAAUGAGACUCUAGAUCAUAUUUACUGUUCUGCCUCAUGUAGUUGCUUCACUAAGUUAAUUAAGACUCCUAUAUGUGACCAAUGUGAUAUUUUGAAUGCUAGAAUUUCUGAUUUAAAAUAUAAAUUAGCAAAGUUCAUAUAUAGUAGUCAUAAUCUGAACAACUUACUUGUUGCAUCUAGAAACAUAGGUAAUCAUGAAGGUCUAGGCUAUAAACCAAAGAAUAGAAGAAAACCAUAUAUAAGACAAGUAGCACACAUGCAUACUAGGUUUAAUCAUAACAUGCCUACUAGCUUUUAUUGUGAUACAUAUGGUCAUACAUCUACAUCAUGCUACAUUAGAAAAUAUGGUAUGUCAAGUGGCAAAUAUGUAUGGGUGCAAGAAGGACUACAUACCUUGAUUACUAACAAGAAGGGACCCAAGAUAACUUGGGUACCCAAACAAACCAAGUAAGCUGUUUUGUAUAUAUGCCUUCGGACACAAGGAAAACACUAAUAUUUGAUAUUGGAUGUUCGAGGCAUAUGACGAGUGUUCGAUCAAAAAUACUUGAUCUAACACUCAAGGAUAAAGUAAAUUAAAUAAGUAGCAUAAUAGUAGCUAUUCAAACAAGGUACGAGAUGGAAAAAUGAAAAAAAAAGACAACAACUAAUGCAUCAUCCUAAAAUUUCAACAAGGAUGAAAGAGGUAAAGCUAAAGAGGUAACAAAAUAUCGAGACUCAAUUGAUCCAUCGCUAUAUCUAAUUGUUAGUAGUCCUCAUAUCAUGUUUAAUGUAUGUAUAUGCACAAGAUACCAGACAUUACCUAAAGAAUCACAUGUUACUACUAUUAAACAAAUCAUGAAGUAUUUAAAACUUGAUCUUGAAUACAUGCUAUUAAGUCAUAUAUGUUGUGAAUGCAUGAUUCAUAUGCUCAAAUUAUCUUCAUGGGUGUUUUUGUGCUUCUUUAUUGUGUCAUAUACAUUUUAGGAUUAGUAUCUUAGGAACAACACUUUUGUAUACUCUAGAAAUCUACAAAAUGCAUUGAAAUCUGAGAUAGUUUUGUCAAUAAUCGAUUGUUCUGUGUUUUAAUCGAUUACUUCGAGUUCCAGUAACCAGAAUAAAUUUUCAUCUUUUUCUUAAUCGAUUAUCGCACGUAUUAAUCAAUUACAUGGGCCAAUUUUUUUGAAAAACUGAAAAUUUUAAGUUGUUUAAUUGAUUAUCGUGUUACUUAAUCGAUUACCUGUGCUCAAAAGUUUAAAACUUUUGAUCAUUUUUAGGUGGUUAAUUGAUUAACUACAAGAAAUAAUCGAUUAAUGGUAGUACUAUAUCAGUUUCAAGUGAUACUCUGGGUCAUUUCCACUUAGAACCCUAAACCCUCUUUGCUUCCCCGCUUCUGAACCAAUUCUAAAAUUGAGUGUUCCUAACCAAAUCAAUAGCUAAUUCACAUACUAUCUCAUAGUUCCAUCUUCCUACAACCCUCAAUUUCUACAAAAUCUGAAUCUUUCACCAUUUUUCUUUAUUAGAAACCCUAUAUCCCAAAUACAUAAAAUCGAUUAUUAAAUCAAAUAAUCAAACUUUAUACCUGAAAUUAUGAGUGAAUCACGUUCAAUGAAAGUGAAGCAUAGUGCCAAACGUGCCAGAGGCAGGGAAAAAGGUACUUAUUCUGCUCAAAGCGGAAGAAAGAAUCGCAGUGACCCUUAUUACCCUCCCAUUCUCCAAGAAGCUCAGUUGGCCAAGUUCCAAGGUAGAAAACAAACAUACAUCCGAUAUGCGGAUGCGAAGUUGGUGGCCGAACAAGGUUUUGAAUUCCCACAUGGACUAGAGAACCAAUGAGCGAAUAAGUUUUUGGAAUUAAGAGGUAAAAUCUAUCAUUCGCUCAUCCGAGAACUUUACAGCAACUAUAGGUAUAAGGAUGAGGUUUGUUCUUCAAUGGUUAUGGGAAAAUGAUAGUAUUGGAUGAGGAACUAUUUCUGGAAGUUGGAGGUCUAACUAGUGAUGGACCAAUGUUAGGAGAUUGUAACAAUGAGUCGUGGGACACAUUUGAUGUUGUUGAGAUGUACAAAUCAUGCCUAAGAGGGCCUCACUUGUUUAUACAAGGAGAAUUGACCAAAGUUGGGUCAUUAUCUGUUGAAAACCGGCUCUUACAUUACCUAAUUGCGUAUAUUUUAGUUCAAAGGAAUACAAACCAUGCUCAACCUACAAUCAAUGAUCUCAAGCUCAUGUUCGCCAUAAGGGAAGGCAUUGUUGUAAGUUGGCCUUCAGAAAUCUUGAAAGUUAUGAAUGGCAUAACUUCAUCUUCAUCUAGGUUGCUUGCCUAUGGGAUUUUCAUCUCCUGUGCCGUUGACUAUUACGAAAUCUACACGUCAUAUGUGGACACAAUGACCAGAAACUCCCGAGAGCACCUUGUAGGUGACAAUCUUAUUCACAAGAUGGGCUUAUACAAGUAUGGAAAUGUAUGGAAAUAUCAAGAGGAUCACAAUGCCAACGUGAAUGAAAACUUACCGAAUGAAGACCAUGCUGAAAAUCCUCGUGAGCCAAACCUUGAGAAAUCACAAACCGAGGCAAAUGUUGAACCUCAGGUACCAUCGUUUGGGCUUGCACACUUGGAUGCUAUGAAACAACACCUAAAUGCGAGAAUUGAUGGUCAUUUUCAGUCCUUGAGACACUCUAUGGCAGUUGAGUUCUAACAACAACAAUAAAGAUUAUCUGAGGAGCUUGAACGCUUCAGCUUCAUUAUAAGCACCACUUGUGGCUUUUCAUCACCACCACCUCAAGAGUAGCCUAGAUAGGAUUUUCUAGAGUCUAGGGUGUGUGUGUGUUUGCUUUUGAGACCGUAGUUUGAUGUUGGUUGUAUUUUGUUAUUUAUGUUGAACUACCUAUGUACUUGAUGCACUUAUUUUGUAAUGUCUCGUAAACUUUGUGAUUAACUUGGAUUAUGUUUCAAUUAUUGUGUGAGACUUUGACCUUAUCUAGUUGUGUAUUUCUUCUAUUGAAUGGUUAAUAUGAUAUGUAUGUGAUUUAACCAAAAUCAUUAAUCAUUCUAUGCAAUAUAUGUCAAACUUCAUCUAACCAUAGGAUCAUGCAUUUUAUUAUAACAUGCAUAACAUAUUCCGCAUUUCCAAAUAUUCUACUUACAAAAUUGUUUUAUUGAAUUUGUAUCAUGCUAUGAAAAUAAAAACUCUAACCCUUACAUCACUUGAUGACAUUCAUCUUUCAUCCAAAAGAUAAUAUGGUGCCAACAAAUACAAAGAAAUUCUCUACUCCAAUACAAUCAUGAGCGACUUCACGCGCUGAUCCCAAGUUGAUCCAGACAUCAUCUUAAGACCGAGUGUUAUGGUGCUAAGAAAGCAGUAACACGAUAUUUACUGCAAGAUGAGACUGCCCCCUGAGGACAUUUCCCUAUGAACUGAUAACUUAAGCAUUAAGUCGAAACACAUUCGCAUUCUUUUCAUACAACUCAUGUCAUAAAUUCUAUCAUUAACAUAUACAUAACUCAACAUAUAUCUCAUGCAUCAAUAAUAAUUUCAUGCAUUGCAUAGCAUAUUCCCAAGCAAUCACAUUCAAAACACAUCUUACUUGCAUAAUCAAACCCAAGGAAAGUCGACCAAGACUUUCUGAGCCAAUCAAAUCAUCUAGACCUAUCAACAUUGUCAGACUCAGACGCCGAAAUGUUAGAACGUCCUUCCUUGUCAAAAAGGACUUUGUCAAACUCAUAUAUCAAGAUGCUUUUCUUAUGAACCUAGAUUUCGGUAGUACCCCGACCUAUGUUCCUAGUGCUUUAAUGUCCCAAGUUUUGGCAGUACCCUGACCUGCAUUCUUAGUUUUACCUUCCUGAAUUCUAGUAGUUCCUGACCCGCGUCUUUGGUGUUCUCUUGUCAACCUAGGUUCCGGAAGUACCCCAACCUAUGUUCCUAGUGCUUUGAUGUCCCAAGUUUCGGGAGUACCCUGACCUGCAUUCUUGGUUUUACCAUCCCAAGUUUCGGCAGUACCCCGACUUGUGUCUUCGGUGUUCUCUUGUUAACCUAGGUUCCAGCAGUACCUCGACUAGUGUUCCUAGUGCUUUAAUGUCCUAAGUUUCAGCAGUGCCCCGACCUGCGUUCUUGGUUUUACCUUCCCGAAUUCUGGCAGUUCUCCGACCUACGUCUUCGGUGUUCUCUUGUCAAUCUAGAUUCUGGAAGUACCUUGACCUGCGUUCAUAGCGCUUUGAUGUCCCAAGUUCCGGCAGUACCUCGACCCGUGUUUUUGGUUUUACCUUCCCGAUUUUUUACAGUACCCCGACCUGUGUCUUCAGUGUUCUCUUGUCAACCUAGGUUCCGGUAGUACCCCAACCUGCGUUCCUAUUGCUUUGAUGUCCCAAGUUUCGGUAGUACCCCGACUUGUAUUCUUGGUUUUACCUUCCCAAAUUCCGGAAUUACACCGACUUGCAUCUUCGAUGUUCUCUUAUCAACCUAGCUUUCGGCAGUACCCCAACCUGCAUUCAUAGCGCUUUGAUGUCCCAAGUUUUGGUAGUAUCCCAAUAUGCGUUCUUGCUUAUUUCUCUAACCUCUAUCUUUAGAGGCACCAUUUGAUUAAUUUUCAGAGCAUGUUUUAAAUCAUUGUCGGGCUUUGUGACCGAAAAUUUUGCAACAUCGCCAGCUUCCAAUGCCAUACCAUCAUCACACGAGGAGUGUGGUCGAGCUCAAGCUUUAGUGUAUAUCCAACUUGAGUUGAUCUUUCCGAUUACCCAGUUCUAAUUGCAUCUUUGAACCGCAGCUUAGACUCUUGUCUCUUUUGCGGCUCCCCCGAACGAGGAGUGGGUCACGAUUAAAAAACACUCACAUGACUAAACUAUAAUAAUCUAAAAUCAUCCCUUAACCUUAACCCCAAACUAAAGGGGCUAUAUAAAACCCCACUUAGCACACCUAAGAUGCAACUUGUCCUAAAACACAUGGUUAACAGCGUUUUUCUUAAAAAAGGUAGAGAUUAGCAUAGAAGGAAAAAACAAUGGAGAGAAAGGAGGUUUUUCUUUUAAAGAUAACAAAAGGAACCAUCUUUUAUUGAGAACCAUCAUCCAGAGGCAAUUUCAUUAGGUUCACUUCUUACCUUAUUCUUUAUUUUCUUUGUUAAAGCUCUUUGCAUUUUUUCAUUUUUUCAUGAUGUUGACAUGAUGAGCCAAAAAGAAGUGGGGUUUUAAACCUGUAUGCAGUGCCACCUUCACGUCACUAUAGAUAAAUUUUAGUGAUGGAAAUGCCUAAUAACAAAAUCCAUGAAGACUUCUGUUUGCAUGAUUUAUAGAAUGUUAUUCAAGAUCACAACAUAAUUUUUUUAACUAUGGAAUUUAUUUUUGGUUCAAGAUAAUAAAAAGGAACACGAAAUAUCAAAGGGAAGUGAGUUGAUGUGCCUAUGACGUAUGUAUUGCAUCAAGCAUCCCUCGAGGUUAGUGAUGUCUUUACCAGAAUAACAGCGUAAAACAAGGUGUCAACAUGUAGAAGGGGAUCUUAAUGGUUAUGACUCAUAGAGAAAGACACCAAAAGAUUUGAAAGUUUUUAUGGGGGUUAUCCCAUAUGUAGCAAAUAUGGAAGAUCGUAUUAUCAAAUAACGUUUACUAAUUUAUGGUUAAUGAUUCAUCCAAAAAAGAGUAUUCAAUCUAUUCGACCAAUCAAAAUUUUCAAAUGGAUUAUUUUGGAUUGAGAUAUUUUUUUUCUUCUUCUUACAUAUUGGAUCAAUUAAUUUUCAAGCACAAGCUUAACCUAACCAAAAACCAAUGUCUACCACAGGCCUACGGCUUGCAUCGGCCUAUGCCCAACAUUGGCACUAACUCUAAUAUGGAAAUUGAGGUCACUAGGUGUUUAUGAUAUAUAUUUAUUUCAGAUGUUAUAUUAUAAGUGAUCUAAUUACUAGCAUCCUAUAGAUUUCUAAAAAAACUAAUAACGAAUAUGGGCUUAAUGAGUGGAUAACCUAUAGGGAUAAUGUGAACCGUAUAAGUUAACACAUAAGGAAGGUUAUGAUCCCCAAUACAUCAAAUCACAACUAAUUUUCACUUCUCCCCAUUAGAGAGAAAAUAAAGGUCCGAAAAGGAAUUGAGGAUUUGGUUGAGGAAGACCAUCAUACCAAAACUCUCUCAAAAGGUAUAUCAAAGGAGUAGAUCAGAGAAGAUGGAUUCAGGGAUUCAGGUAUGACUUUAUAUCCUUGUUUUAUAUUAUGUGUGAGAAUCAUGAUAUUCAAGAUAUUAGGAUUGGUAUUUCAUCAAUCAUUAGGAAAUAUCUAACAAGUGGUAUCAGAGCUACCAGGUUCUGAAUUUUAUGGUUCUCCAUUAAAGUUGUUUUUCCCCUAAUUUUUUAUGAACCCUAACUUUUAAAUUUGGAAAUUUUUAUGCUUCCGCUAUUGGUUAUGAAAUUGGGUAUUUAGGAAUAAUGAGGAUAACUUUUAUUCGCUUCCGCUUAUUUGAAUUAUGAAUCCUUGCAACAUGUGUUGAAUUAUAUAUUCAGAUCUGUACAUGAACAUUACAUUAACUUCUGUGACUCUGUUAUGCAAUAUUUAUAUUAUACAUUGCAUUGUCACACAUGUUCUAUUCAGUUCAUUCUCUCAAUUUUUCAUCUAUAUACAUUGCCUCAAAUUUCAUUUACUGCAUUGUUGCGUUAAAUUUUAUGUUGAUUUCAAUAUAUAUAUUGAAAUUUAAAGAACUUUUCUUUUGUUAAUGUUUAAUUUAGUAAAAAGUUAUUAAGGCAAUUUAUCAUGGCUUAUGACUUUCAUUUUUUUAAGCUUGACUUUUAUUAAAUUACACAUAAAUUCUUACAGUUGCUAUGGGUUGCACAAUUAUAUUAUAUAUGUUUGUACUUUUGUUGUAUUAUACACACUGAAUUUCUAUAUAUAUCUUUUAAGAUAUGCAUGAUCAUAUUUGAUUUGGAAUUUCGAUAAUACUUUGCAUUAUUAAGAUUGCAAUUUUAAAGCGUUGAUAUAUAUAAUAUAUCUUUUUUGCUUUGGAAUUAUAUUAUGAGAUUAGAUUUGUUAAUCAUAAAAGAUAUCAAAUCUCAAGGUUUUAAUUCCAAGAUCAUAAUUUUUUUUUUUGUAAUGGACCUAUAUUGUUUAUUUUUGUCUGGUAAUUAUUUUGAAGUAACUGAUACAAUAUAUUGUCAAAGUGACCUCUAUUGUGGAAAUUGAUUAAAAUUAUAUAUAUGAGUAUGAGAUUAUUUAUGCGAAUUGUGUUCGGCCCUAAGGAAGACACAAGGCCAAAUAAUAACAUACUUGUGAUGAUUAAUAUGUCACAAUUAUAAGUUUUUUUUUCCAUGUGAAUGAUAGUCAGUCCUAAGAAAGGCUAUUGUUUGACAGAACUAAUUGUUAAUAUUUGAUUAUUACGUUGAGAGUACCACUUACAAAUUAAUUUCUCUGUACAAAGACUAGAAACUCAUGUUGUGCUAGGUAUCUUGUGAUAGGUCUAUUAUGUGAACAUGUCUUGUUUUAUAUAUUACUUGACUUAUUUGUUUAAAUGGUUACAACACUUAUGGUUUGUUGCAUUGGUUGAUGGCUAAUUGCAUUAUUAAGUGGUUGCUAUUGUUGAAGCAUUGUUUCUGUUUUGACAGUUUGCCCUGCCAUGUUUAAUCAUGUUUAAAAUAGUAAUAUAUUUUUUUAUGGAAAAUUCAAAAUGACCAUUAUUGGAAUUCGAAAUACAGUCAUAACACUUAUGGUUUGUUGCAUUGGUUGGUGGCUAAUAUCAUUAUUAAGUAGAUGCUAUUGUUGAAGCAUUAUUUCUAUUUGAACAACUUGCCCUACCAUGUUUAAUCAUGUAUAUAAUGGUAAUAUUUUUUUUAUGGAAAAUUCAAAAGGAUCAAUACUGGAAUUCGAAAUGAAGUCCUUGUGAUGAGAAUGAUGCAAUGCUAUCAAUAGGCUAUAAUGAAUAUACCUAUUUAUAUGUCGAUAUAAAUAAGAUAUGUUUUGUAUUAAUGUUGUGUUGAAUCAAAGUCAACUAAAUGGUUUUUUUUUGGAAAAUAAAAUUUGUUUGACAUUUUAAGUGAAUCUAUUAAAUAUGAAGUCGCCAAAGUGAUAUAUUUUUUGUGAAUUGUUCAUAAUAAGUGUCAAAUGCUAGUGCAUAUAUGUAUCCAUGCGGGUAUUAACCGACCUAAAGGAAGAUUAUUAUUGGCCGGAUUAUAUACACACAUGUGAUGGUAAAUAUGUGAUUAUUAUAAAGUUGCAUAUAAAUGAAUGACAAAUCAGUACAAAGAAAGGUUUAUUAUUUGACAUGCAUUAUGAAUAAUGUUUGACCACAAACAAGAGUAUCAUUAGUGAUUGAUAUGAAAUAUCAAGCUAAUUGUAUGUUUGGAUUUUAUGCGAAUAGUGAUUGGCUCAAAGGAAGAUCUUUAUUUGGCCCAAAUUACAAACAUACUUGUAGCAAUAAAUAUAUAAUAAUCAUAUGGUUUUCCAUGUGAAUAGUAAGUCGGUCCAAAGAAAGACUUAUUAUUUGACUAGACUGAUUAUCAAUAUUUGAUUACUACAUUGAGUGUAUCACUUUCAAGUUAAUAUUUUGUCGAAAGACUGAAUAUUAAUGUUGUGCCAGGUAACUCGUGAUGUGCCCCAUUAUCAUUUGAAUUUAAGUAUUAAAGUUGAAUGUGAGUUUAAUUGCAAGAAUGAUUGCAAUUUUUUUUGUUCUUUUACUAGUGUUGCAAAUAUUUCUGCUCAAAUUAAGAACAUCUCAUUGCUAAAUGGGACAAACUUUAAGGUCUGGAAGGAAGCCGUAUAUAUUAUUCUUGGUUGUACGGAUUUAGAUCUGGCACUUCGGGUGGAGAAAUUGACUUCUAUUAUGGAAAUCCUCGAUGAGGUUAAAAAUUGAGAAAUUGGAAUACUUUAACUGAAUGUGUCUAAUGAUCAUGAAACGCUCUAUUUUAGGAGCGUAUCAAGGCUCUAUUUCCGAGGGUCAGAGUUCAAAAAAGUUCCUUGAAGAAAUAGAACCAUGUUUUGCCAAAAAUGAAAAGGCAGAGACGAGUAGCCUUUUAGCUAAACUCAUCUCUAUGAAGUAUAAAGGCAAAUGGAACAUAGGGGAGUACAUUAUGGAUAUUUCUAAUCUCUCAUCAAAACUCAAGUCACUUAAGUUAGAGCUUCGUGAUGACUUGCUCGUGCACUUGGUUUUAAUCUCACUUACUACACACUUUCGGCAAUUGAAAGUAAGUUUUAACACUCAGAUGAACUAUGUGCAAGAGGAAGAGAGACUGCAAAUAGAUAAGACUGAAAGUGUCCACUUAGUUAUGAUCUCUCAAAAUAAGAUAAGAAAGAACAAUAAGGAUGCUGUGAAAUGGCUAUUUGUGGUUUUUCCUCAGAGAAUGUGACAUUUUUCUUCAAUACACUAUGUCAGGCAAACCUAGGGCAUUGUUGAGCGAUUAAACCAAACUCUUAAGGAUAUGGUGAGAAGUAUGAUUAGUCAUUCUUCCUUGCUAGAGUCUCUUUGGGGGAGAGCUUUAAAGACCACAAUUUACCUCCUUAACCGAGUGCCAAGUAAAGCAGUUAACAAAACCCCAUAUGAGCUUUGGACUAAUAAAAGGCCAAGCUUAAAACACUUGCACGUUUGGGAUUGUCCGAAUGAAGCGCGGCCUUAUAGAUCGCAUGAAAUAAAAUUGGACUCUAGAAUUGUUAGCUGUUAUUUUGUUGGCUAUGUUGAACGCUCUCGGGGCUAUAAAUUUUAUGAUCCACUUCAAGACUCUUUUUUGAUAUGGGAAAUGCAAGCUUUCUUGAGGAAGUUGAUUUUGGGAAGGAAGAGAACAUACGGAAUGUUGUCUUUGAAGAAGAACCUGUCACUGAUAGUGAACAAGUUCUUGUGCCUAUUACCAUCAAGGAAUGAAUUCGGUAAUAGAAGAUAAUGUUCAGAAUAUUGUCCUUGACAAUAUUUCAGAACAAGACAACAAUGAGGUUCUCCCUCAAGUACCUAUAGAACAAAUUCAACAACCUCAAGAAGUAGAAGUGCCAUUAAGGAGAUCCACUAGAGAGACGAAAAAUGCAAUUCCUGAUGAUUAUAUUGUAUUUCUUGAAGAACAUGAGGAUGGCAUUGGGUUAACAGAACAUGAUCCAUUGAACUUUUGUCAAGCCAUGAAAAGUUCUAACUCUCAAAAGUGGAUUGAUGUCAUGAAGGAUGAGAUGAAGUCUAUGCAUGAUAAUGACGUUUGGGAUCUUGUCCAAUUACCUGUAGGUGCGAAACCUAUUGGUUGAAAAUAGAUAUUUAAAACCAAGAGGGAUUUGAAGGGUAAUAUUGACAGAUAUAAAGCUCGUCUAGUAGCUAAAGACUUCACUAAAAAAGAAGGCAUUGAUUAUAAAGAAACAUUUUCUCCAGUAUCUUCGAAGGAUUCUUUUAGAAUAAUAUGGCCACUAGUGGCUCAUUUUGAUUUAGAGCUACAUCAUAUGGAUGUGAAGAUUACGUUUCUUAAUGGUGACAUUAAGGAAACGAUCUAUAUGGUGCAACCAGAAAACUUUGUGUCAGUUGGCUCAAAGUCUAUGGUAUGCAAAUUAAAGAAAUCCAUUAAUGGGCUUAAACAAGCUUCUCGUCAAUGGAAUCACAAAUUUCAUCAAGUUAUUACCUCGUAUGGUUUUGAGGCAAAUAAAGUUGAAGAUUGUGUAUACCAUAAAUUCAGUGGGAGUAUAUUUAUCUUCUUGGUAUUAUAUAUCGAUGAUAUGCUGCUUGCUAGUAGUGAUAUGGGACUAUUGCAUGAGACCAAGAGAUUUCUAACGAAGAAUUUCGAAAUGAAAAAUCUUGGGGAUGCUUCUUUUGUAUUAGGUAUUCGGAUACUGAGAGAUCGCUCUCAAGGUAUCCUAAGGUUAUCACAAGAAAGCUAUAUAGAUAAAGUCCUGGAUAGAUUUGACAUGAAAGACACUAAACUAGGGGAUACCCCCAUAGCUAAGGGAGACAAGUUUAAUCUCGAACAGUACCCUAAUAAUGACCUUGAAAGAUACAAGAUGCAAAAGAUUCCUUAUGCAUCUACAGUAGGAAUUCUAAUGUAUACUCAAGUUUGCACACGCCUCGACAUAGCAUUUGUUGUGGGAGUUUUGGACAGAUAUUUGAGUAAUCAUGGAAUGCAUCAUUGGAAGGCAGCAAACGUGUUAUGCAUUACUUGAAGAGAACAAAGGAGUACAUGCUCACUUAUCGGAGGUCUGAGAAUUUAGAGAUCAUUGGGUACUUUAACUCUGAUUUUGCUGGAUGUCUAGAUAGUAGACACUCCACCCCUAGAUAUAUGUUUAUAUUGGUUGGAGGUGCUAUCUCUUGGAAGUCUGCGAAACAGGCACUUAUAGAUCCUUCAACCAUGGUUGCGGAGUUCAUGGCUUGUUUUGAAACAUCAUAUCAUGGCAUAUGGUUGUGAAAUUUUGUCAUUGGUUUACGUGUGGUUGAUGGUAAUGAAAGACCAUUGAAGAUUUAUUGUGACAACAAGUCCGUAGUUCUUUACUCCACCAACAAUAGGAGUUCUACAAAGUCAAAAUUCAUUGACAUAAAGUUUCUGGUUGUUAAAGAAAGUGUUCAAAAUGGACAAAUUUCCAUAGAACAUAUAGGGACAAAUUUUUAUGCUAACUGAUCCACUGACUACGGGUUUGUUACCUAAAGUCUUUCAUGAGCAUGUUGCUCAUAUGGAUGUUGUUCCUUAGGGUAUCUUAGUUCAAUGAGAGUCUAUAUGUUUUAUGAUUUACUUUGGAUGUUAUAUACAUUUUUUAUGCAUAAUAAAGUUGAUGGUUUAUUGUUCCAUUUUGAAAUUGUGCAUUGUAACUAUUGUGUUGCAAUUAAAGACUUUGGAUUGAUCUCACUAAAGAAUAAAGAAAGACCAAUUGGAAAUAGACAUGUUUGAGAUCACAUUGCAUGAAAUUUCCAUGUCACUCAUCCAUGUUUGAUCUAUGUCAUUGAGUAUAUUGAUAUGGUGAUCAUCGUGGUCAAGUCAUGCUUGCAUGUGAUGAAAGUUAGGUGAUUUCAUAGUUGAUAUAUGAAUGAACCAGAUUGUAUUAAGGAGAAGUCUAAAUGUAAAUAGCAUACGGAUGCACGUCUAAAGAACCUGUGAUAUAAUUAUAUCAGGAAGAUAUGAAGCCUAAGUGGGAGAUUGUUAGAAAUUUAUAAUUUCUAAUUAAGGCGAGCAUCAUAUAUUUGAUACAAUGAUAUCGGCUAUUUAUUUCAGGGGUUACAUUAUAAGUGAUCUAAUUACUAGCACCUCAUAGAUUUCUAAAAAAGCUGAUAACGGAUAUGAGCUUAAUGAGUGGAUACCCAUCAGGUUAACCUAUAGGGGAUACUAAGAACCCUAUAGGUUAACGCAUAAGGAAGGUUAUGGCCCCCAAUACACCAAAUCACAAAUAGUUUUUACAUCUCCCCAUCAGAGAGAAAACGAAGGUUCCAAAAGGAAUUAAUGAUUUGGUUGAGAAAGACUAUCGUACCAAAACUCUCUCAAAAGGUAUAUCAAAGGAGUAGAUUAGAGAACAUGGAGUCAGGGAUUCAGGUAUGACUUAAUAUCCUUGUUUUAUAUUAUGUGUGAGAAUCAUGAUAUUCAAGAUCCUAAGAUUGAUAUUUCACCAAUCAUCAGGAAAUAUCUAACAUUCAACACUACCCAUAUCUAACUUCUAAUAUCAACCUAGAUCCAACUUCAAAAAUUAGCUUGGACAUGACUUCCAUAUCGUUUGGAGUUAGGUGUUAACACGAGGUCAUGUUUAAGGUUAGUGUUAGUCUUUGUGUUAGGCAUUAGAAUCAAACUAGAGGUUCAAGUUGAGGUCAACUUCGAACUCAAGUGUCAAAGAAAAAAUGGUAAAAUAAAAUUAUCAUUUACAAUUAAAUUGAUUGGUGGAAAAUCCAUCUAUAAUGUUUUUAGUGGGUGAGUUUGAUUGAUUAUAUAAAAUAGAUCAGGAUAGGUUAUGUACAUUUAACAAUUAAUAAAUGAGUCAUGAAUGAAUUGAUGGUUUGCUUUAACCAAUCCACUUAGAUUAGUUUCAACUAGAACCCGUAUUAGUUAUCUCAAAACUUUGUCUUUAUUUUUGCCUCAUCCAUUUAGAUAUUGUGAUGUUUACCUCUUGGGUAAAAGGCUCUUGAAACGAUCUAUCUUGGUUGAUGUAUGGCCUAGGCUCACGGUUGAGUUAAGCCUUUGAGAUAUGCAGCGGAAAUAACUUGUGUUUUGGAUAAAAGAAGAUGGAAAAGAGAUGAGGUGAGGCGCCACAAACAAUUCAAUUGUUUGAUAAGCCAAGUGAUGCUCGCCACAAGAACUUGGUUCUUGAUAAGAACUUUUAAUCUUGGUUCAGCCAAGAAGGUUUGGAGAAUACUCUCACAAGGAUAUAAUCCUCUUUGAUUCACAAAGGAAUACAAUUUAGUUUGACUCAAAGUUGUUUAUUUCUCAACAUAGAACAUUACAUAUAUAGGCAAGCCAUCAAGGCUCCCUCGGUUGGAAACUAAGAGUGCAUGUCUUGCACGUUUACAUUGGAUACUCUAUAAGCAAUGAAUCUACUCCUAAUCUAGACUAAAUUCGAGUAGUAAGAGAAUUGGCACAUGUGCCUUAUUACAACUGAAAACAAACUUAAUGACUAGGCCAAUUGAACUUCAAUGCCACGGUUGGUUGAGCAUGGGAUUUCCCUCAACCUUAAUUGCACGGCUCCCUCAUUAAGUGAAAUGGUUAAGAGACUUGAAGAAUCCUUAAUGCUCACGAGCAAGCCUGGAUGAGCUUCAUAGGAUUCUUCUAAUUUUGGCACAUGGAAAAUGUUGGAUUUAUGCCUUGUUAAUGCUCCUCGGUUCCACUUGAAUGUUGGCAUAGGAUUCCUUUGGAAAGGAAUGAAUUUCCCACGGCUAAGUGUGGCUGAAGAGCUCAAUAAAUAUCAUAGGAUUCCGUUGGGAUGAGUUGGUAGGCUACCAACGGCUAAGUCAUGUGCAUAAAGCACCUUUAAUGCAUCAAUAAAGUCCCAAACGGCCAUAUGAAAUUUCUACACGAGCAACUUUGCUCCAACGACCUUAGAAGUGACUUAGGAUGCCUCAUAAUGAAUUAUGCUCAGGUGGUUUUGUUCCAACGGUCCAUACAUAGCCUUAAAGCUCCAUAAAUGCUCCUUUAAGCCUCUCCACGGUCAUCUUGAAGAUUCCCUCGAGCAAAUGUCUUCCAACGGGCAUAUUAGACUCUAAUUACCUGCCAAAUAAUAUUAGACAAUGUUAGAAUAAGUUUGGUUCACGAAAAUAUUAAGUUGGUCCAAGCAUUAAAGUGUCGGUUACACUUUUAGGCUUGUCUUAACUACUCGCGAGUCAAAUUUUAUUCUGGUUAAUUUUUAUGUGCAGAUUUAUUACAAACAUGCUUAAAUUAAUUAAACUAAGUGUUUGACAAAGGUUAGCCCACACAUUUAUUAUAGAAAUUAAAAUGACUCAACACUAAUUGAAUUGACUAGGCCUGACUCGGUCAGGCCACGCCCAGCGCCUGAUGCAGCAUGCUAGGCGCACGCGCCUCGGUCAGAAUUCCUGGCCAGGCCAGUCUGGCCCAGCACCUAGCGCAUCACUGUGCGCACCAAGUUCCCCAACCCGGUCAGGGUUGUCUCGGUCAGGAAUGGAGCCUAAUGCGUCUGGUUCCGUGCCAGAGCCAUUUUUGGCGCCUUGCCCAGACCCGUGGCCUGAGUCAUGCGCAUGGCCUGGUCCAUCCUUGGCUCGGUCAGAGCCAUGGACCAAGAUGCUAGUGAGCAUCUUUACACCCCCUUGGGCUAUUUUUGGUUCACCAUCAUGAAUCAACAUUAAGAGAUGUCCAAGGGCAUUUUGAACCCUUUUUGCCCGAGCCCUAGUCAUAGGGCCACUCAUGCCUUCAAGACCACCAAGAUCAAGAUUAGGCUCUUUGAGGAUCAUAUCAUAUUGACACAUGUAAAAUGUUAAAUAAGUUUUUUUGUGACCUAUAUUAUUAUAGUCUCUUCAUUACUGUUAAGUUCUUUCACCUUUUCCUUAAUUACAACUAACAUUCUUCUUUUCACAAACACUCUUCAUCACACUCCACACCUUCACUUUUUAAAAUUUUCUAGAGUAGUUCCUCAUGAAGUAGCAAUAGAUUAGUAAAAUAUGAUAUGUCAAGGACUAAAAUGUCACCAACUUUAAUUGCUAUUAAACACUCCAAGUUUAUUUUGAAACCUCGUUACCAAUGAAAUGAUUAUGUUUCAAGUUUAGAACUCGGAGAUGGGUGAGAGAGGUUCAGGAGAGGAGGUCCGUAGGGAUGGCAAUGAAAACCGAACUCAUGGGUACCCGUCCGAACCCAACCCGAAUUUAAUGGGGUAAACCUGUUAUGAUUGGGUUCGAGUUUUACCCGAUGUUAAUUUUCGGGUUUGGGUUCAGGUUAGGUAUGUGUGAUACCCUACCCCGAACCCACCCCGAACCCGCCCCGAACCCGCCAUUGAUUAAAUCAAGCUUCUCUAACCUUGUGUACACACAAAUGUUGUUGUUCUGAUUAUAGAUCUGAGAGAGAGAAUAGAGUUAAAGAUUUGAGAGAGGGAAUAGAGUGAGGAAGAGGAAGAGAGGGAAGAAGCCAAAAGUGAAGGUGAAUGUGGAUGAGUGUUAGAGAUUGUAAAUAUGACAUGGUUUUCUAUGUGAAUAAUAUUUACACAAUAAUUUUACAAGUUCAGCAAAGGUUUAAUAGAGAACAAGACUAGUUUCAAUAAAGUAGUAAUAGACCAAUAUUGGAUUUUUAAAAAUGAGACAUGCAGAAAGGUAUACUCAAAGUUUGAAAUUGGUUACCUGUAGAUUUCAAGUUGCGGCUACAGUUUGCAGAUAUUUUUUUUUUCGGAUUACUCGUCGGGUUCAGAGUUGGGUAAGCACAAACCUGACCCCUAUCCGCCGUGUUGCCAUUCCUAGAGGAGGGAACCUCAGAGAUAGAUAUUUUCGAGAACAAGUCUUGAGACACAGUUGUUGAUGCAAGAAACGCUGUCCCAAAGGGUAUCGCCACCAUUGUUCCUCAACAAAAGACAUAGAGAGAAAGAGGAAGGACGGUAAAAAAUGAAAGUUUAGAGUAUGAUGAAGAGAGCUUGUGAAAAGAAUAGUGUUAGUUUAUAAUUAAUGAGAAAGUGGGAAAACUUUAAUGAAAUGGGUAUAAUAAUAUAGAAUAAAAUAUUUAAUCAUGCCAGAAGAUAAUUUAUCUCAUUAAAUCAAGUCAUUGUUUGACAUGUAUCUUAUUUUCAUUCCAUCUAGAAGUUUUCAUUUUAAUAUAUAAUAAAAAAAAAGACAAGGGUAAUACAAUGACUGAAUUUAAAGAGAUAAGUUAUCUCUUAAUAUGAGGAAAGAUUUUAUUCUCGUAAUAAUAUGAGUGAGAGAAAAGUCAUUUUUAUCAUUUUCCACGCAUUAACAUCUGAAUGGACGAGACAAGAACAUAGACAGGGUUAUGGGGCAACUUACCUCGUUCUUUUUAAAUAGAGUAAUUACUCAUUUUGGUCUCUCAUCUUUUUCGUGGGUACCAAUUUAGUCUCUAACAAAUUUUAAGUGACAUUUUCCUCCCCAAUAAAUUCAACAUCGAGUCAUGUUAGUUUUUCCGUCAUCUCGGCUCUGUUAACUGUAACAGAUUUGUUCGCAUGACAUGUUAAUUGGUGAAGUGGCCUCUACUAGAUGAUCCUACAUGUACAAGUUGUCAUGUCAGCAAUCGAUUUUUUUUUUAAUUUUUUCCCUAAAAAAUUGACAUUGUUUUUUUAAAAUAUUAUUUUUAAAUAAAAUAAUUUAGAAUAAAAAAUUUAAAAUUCUUAUUAUACAAAAAAUGACAUUUGGCAUAGAAAAUUUUCGAAAAGAAAUUAAGAAGCAAAACGAUGUCGUUUUGCUUCAUCUUCUUCCUUCAAACUUCUUCACUCGUACACCUCCUUUCCUUCAAAUUUCUUCACCCGUACACCUCCUUUCCUUCAAACUUCUUCAACCUUCACACUCA
rnacentral:lncRNA from 1 species